AAACGCAUCGGCCUUUUAAAAAUCCAAUUCUAGUUUUGCUGACUACUAAAAUUGAUUGGGGCAAAGACCCUAUUUUGUAGUUUGCAAUUUCAAAAAUCAAGGUUUGCUGGUUUGUUCUUUUGAACAAUCAUUAUGCAAGAGUCUCAAAAGUAAAUGGGUUAAACCAAUUAUAUAACCAAAAUUUGAAACAAAAUUAUAAAAAGAAGUUCGAAUUAAGUUGACUAUUAUUUUGAUCCCUAAUCAAUUUCACCUAAGCGAAUUUCCUAUAUAAUCAUAAUAAAUUGAAGAAGUAAAGAAUCCAAUAAGGUUAACAUUAGUUAUCACACCAAUACAAUCAUGCAUUAAUAAAUAUGGGGAAUAGGUCUAGUGGGGAUAGACUCCAUUCUUGUUGGACUACCACUAGAUAGGACCAACAUUAUCUUUAUUAAGUCAGCAAAAGACAGGAGGAAGCAGCAAUAACGGCAGCCCAGUUGCUCAAACUGGACUAGGGCCCAAAAGGAGCUCAGCGAGAGCAAAGGAGUAUUCAUGCAAAACAAGGAAAAGAUAAGCAUCAGUAUACUCUUGCUUCCAUCACCAAGUUAAGGGAAAAAAAACAUAAUAGCAUAAAUACAUAAAUGUUAUGCCAAAGAAUUAAUAAUGCUCAAACUAAAUACUUGUGAAUAAUUUUCCCAAAGGAUCAAUAUAUUCCAAAUUUGCCCAAAGUCUAUUUGUGUCAAAAGAAUUCCCUUGAUUUUUGAUACUUCGGAGUUCACAAGGGUCUCUCGGAUUCUGAGUAGUGCUUGUGCCAGAGAGGGAUUCCUCAAUGUAUAGUCGACCCAAGGUUAAAUUAGUAACCAUGAACCCCUACUCCUCCAGAGGGCAAAUCAAACAAAAGCGAUUACCCUCACAUAAUAGCAUUCACCAAACUUCUAGUCGUGAAUUCAUAUACUAUUAGGAACAAUUUAUCAACCCAGACCGAAAAUAUUUAGCCAUUUCUAAGAGACUAAAUCUUCAUCAAAACAAGUCCUAAGGUAACACAUUUGUUAUUAUGUUCUAACUGAUUUGAUUUCAUGGUAUAUACAGAAGGGGUAACUCUAUUGAACUACGUUUUAGCAUAGAAUGUUGGGUUUACUUCCAUAAUACCAAUUCUUUUAAUGGCAAUCUACAAAAGAAUCUUCUUCUCUUAUAUUCACACUAGCAACCUAGUACUUUAAGAAUUUCAAAAGACUAAUGGAAUGACAGAGUUCUCAUGUCUUGCAAACAAAGAAAGACUCAGACUGUUCUUAACAUAGGAAUAGCCAUACUCAUACUUUGAAAUGCAGCUAAUGCAAACAGGAAAGAGAAACAAGCAUAUUACUUCUCUAAUUGUUCUAAAGUUCUAUGUAAUUAUUCUAGUUUGAAGGAUUUCUUUUAUAAAUAUGCUUAUGGACUAAAUUUUAUGUCUGCUUCCUUAACAAUAAGAAAUCCUAAAGGCAUCAUCUCUAUUUCUUAUUUGCAAAUAGUAUCAACAGACUUAUGUAAAUUAAAUUGUUACUGUAUUAACCCAGUCGGUCGUUUUGAGUACUUUAGCCCCAUUUGCCCGAUUAGAUGCUUUACUUAAGUGUAUUUGAGGUUACGUGAGUUUCCGCGGUGGUUCGUUUGGUUUCAAGGAAGUUUUAGAGUAAACUAGGAAACUUAGUCCCAAGGUUGGAAGCUUAAGUUGUAAGAGUUGACCGUAGUUUGACUUUCAUGUAAAUAACUUCGAAAUAGAGUUUUGAUAGUUUAAAUAGUUUCGUAUUAUAAUUUUGGACUUAGGCGUAUGUCCGAAUAUGGAUUUGGAGGUUUGUAGGUGGAUUUGUUACUUUUUGGCGAAAGUUAGAAAGUUGAAGAAUUGGAAGGUUGAUAGGUUCGACCGAUAGUUGACUUUGAUAAUAUCGGGUUCAGAUUUUGAUUACGGGAGUUGGAUUAGGCCUAUUAUGUCAUUUGGAGCUUGCAUGCAAAAUUUGAGGUCAUUCGAGUCGUUUAGGCUUGUUCGACGUAAGUUUUGAAUUUGGAAAAUGGGAUUAGUUCCUUAGGCUUGAAUUGAGGUGCGAUUUGUGAUUUUGAUAUUGUUUUGUGUGAUUUGGCGCCUCAAUCAAGUCCGUGUUAUGUUUUGGGAUUGAUUGGUAUGGUUGGACUGGAUACCCGGGACCUCGGGUGUAUUUCAGACGGGUUUCAGACCAUUUCUCCAUGUUUUAGAACUGCUAAUUCUCAUUUCUGGUUUCCCUUUUCACAAUCGCGAAGAAGCAAUUGCAUUCGUGGGAGGGUAUUUCUGAUGGAAGGUGAGUUGUUCUUCGUGUUCGCAAAAGAGUGAUCGCAUUCGCGAACUGUUUGGAGGCAGUGGCCUUCGUGAUCGUGAUGAGGGGGGCGCGUUCAUGUAGAAGGGGAGGACGGCUGGGGUGUCAAGCUUUUAGCCUUGAAGAUCACGAGGUGGUGACCACGUUCACGUAGGCUUAGAGGUGGAGUGCAUUGUGUCCGCGUCCUGGAUGUCACAUUCGCCAAGGGGUUUUCCAGGGCAGUGUUUGGUUGUGCUUUGCGAUGGCAAAGUUGGUCCCGCGAUUGCGAAGGAUAUGCCUGGGCAGGCCAUAAGUACUCUACUUUUUCGAUAGUUUUCGCCAUUUUAACAUAUUUAGAGUUGUGGAUCUCAGAUUUGGGUAAUUUUGGAGGGUAUAUUCACGAUUUGGAUUGAAGUAAGAAUUUUUUACUCGAAUUUGUUAUAUUCAUGAUUCCAACAAUUAUUUUAGCAUUUAAUUGAUGAAUUAAAGUGUGAAAAUUGGGGAUUUUAGUAAAAACUUUUCUAAAGCAUAAAUUGAUGAUUUGAGGGUCUAUUUGAGGUCCGAUUUGAAUGAAACACAUAUAUUUGGACUCAUAUUGGAAUGGAUGUUCAGAAUUUGAGAGUUUGGUCGAGUUCCGAUAUAUGGGUCUAGGGUUGAAUUUUUGGAUUGACUUUUUGUUUUGGUUAAAGAUCUUAUUUUUAUCAUUUGGAAUCGUUUCCUAUGACUUUUAUUGAUGAUAGUAAGUUAUUUUGGCUAGAUUCGGGCUGUACGGAGGUUGAUUCACAGGGGAAGGGCUUAUUAGAGGAUUGAUUUGGCUUGCUCAAGGUAAGUAUCUUACCUAAACUUAGUUGAGGCACUAGUUUCCUGAGCUAUUUUUCAUAGCUACGUGCUAUGGGUGGCGCACAUGUGUGGGAUUGAGCCCAUGUGCGUGCACCAGGAUCUUUGUUUAUGCUCGGGGUAGUAUUUAGCUUAUGUUAUGCCUUGAAUUGAUUGCUAAGCUUCAUACCGUGAUGGUUCUUAUACUUGUACUCCUAUUGUGAACUAUUUGAGCCAUGUUUGAGGUUACAUAGAGGUUAGUCUCCUGAUUGAACCUGAUAAUUAUUAUUUCCAUGAUGUAAUUGCCCGGUUUGAGAUAUGAUAGUACACUUUGCACAUGCAUACACCUUAGCAUAUCAGUUAUACUAAUCCAAGAGUAUGGAAUUUGAUAUUCAUUGAUAAUAUACAUGUAUUUUUGUAUAUUUUCUUCCUGUGUGAUAUGGAUUCGACCGGUAGCACAUGACCACGCCAUGCGGUUUGUGAGAUUGAGCAUGUGACCAUUCCCAGCAGAUUAUGAUAUUGAGCUUGUGACCACGCCGAACGAAUUAUGAUAUUGAGCUUGUGACCACGCCGGGCGAAUUGUGUAUUGAGCCUAUGACCACGCCGACCGGAUUGUGAUAUUUAGCAUGUAACCACGCCGACUGAAUUGCACGUGACUACGCCGUACAACGUGUGGAUAUGUAUCUAUCUGCCUAGGGUCACCCUCUCAUGGCCUUCUUGAUGGUGUACAUUAGGACUUGAAAAAUAAUUGAUCAAUGGUUUGGUACUGUUAUGAAAAUUAUUAGGAAAAGCUAGUCGGUGCUUGAUUUGGUUAUUGCAUUUCAUCUUUACUUGCAAUUUCCUUGGUUGUUUACCUGAUUUGCUGCAUAUAUUCUUUAUAUGCUGGAUUUUUGGCUUAGCAGAGUACGUUAAGUUAUUAUGUUCACACAGUGGUUUCUUCAUGUGCCUCGUGAUUUGAUAAUAUUAUUUGUUAUGUACUUGUUGGAUUUAUGAACUGUACAGGUGGUUAGCGAGUAUCAUUUAUAAUUCUUGCUUUUAUUGCCUAGCGGAGGUUAGUUAUGAUACUUGCUGAGUAUAUGGGGUUGAUUGUACUCAUACUACACUCUACACUUAAUUGUGCAGAUCUAGGUGUUGAAUCGAGCCACUAGUAGCUGAGGCUUAUUGAUGAUUGUCAUCAGAGAGACGAGGUAGCGUUGCAUCUUGACCGCAGUCUUGGCAUUUCUUUUCCUUUUUGUAUCGUUUUGUUUAUUCAGACAGUGUUAUUAUUUGGCAUUUCAGACAUAUAUUUUUGUUUUAGAGCUCAUGACUCUGUAUUAACCAGUUCCAGUGGAUUUUAUUUUUGUAUUGACGUUGUUGUUUAUGUUAUUUUGCCUUAGACUUGUACUAAUUCAGUUAAUUCAGUAUUUUUAUUUCAUUUUUGUUAUGUUUGGCUUGCCUAGCAAGUGAGUCAUCAUGACAGGAUGGUGGUUUUGGAUCGUGAAAAGUUAGUAUUAUAGCUCUAGGUUCAUAAGUUCUACGAGUCAUAAGCAACUUUAGUAGAGUCUUUCGGUACGGAGACGUUUGUACUUAUCUUUAAAAAGCUAUCAAACUAUUAGAAAACUUCACUUUCAUGUAUUCUUGUCAUGCAGAUUUAUUAUUUCUAAAGUUUAAACCUUUACUCUUCUAUUCUCUCAGAUAUGGUGAGGAAAUAAUGAGCCGGAUCAGGCGGCCAAGCACCAGUACGACCAGGCAGGCUGCAAGAGGUCGGGGCUGAGGUGGGGCUCGUACUACUGCUAGGGCAGUAUCUGUGGAGCCACCAGUCGCUCCAGUGGAGGAGCAAGUUCCAGAUAUUGUUGAGCCGGUGGAACCAGAUUAGACACCGGCAGUACCUAUUGUUAUACCUGUUCUUCAGGAGGCUUUGGCUCAGAUCUUGAGUGUGUGCACUAGCUUGGCUAAGGCGUUUAAGGUACCAGUUACACCAGCUACCACACAGGCUAGAGGAGGAGCCCAAACUCCCGCCACCCGUAUAUCGGAGCAACUAGCUUAGGCUUAUCAGACACCAAGGGUGUUACCGACUUAGCCAGUUAUUGUUGCUCGUGUCGCGAUUGAUCCAUCUAUGUCCGAUGAGGAGCAAAAGAGGUUGGAGCGGUUUGAGAGUUCAGUGGAGGGGAGUUAGAGGAUGUUCAGAGUUUUCUGGAUCGGUGUCAUCGGAUUCUUUGCACAACGCGUAUUGUGGAUAUCAGUGGGGUUGCCUUUACAACUUUUCAGCUGACAGGGGCAGUCUACCAGUUGUGGCACACUUACGAGUCUAGUAAGCCAGCUGGCACAACACAACUUAUAUGGCAUGCGUUCUCAGUUCUCUUCUUAGAGAAGUUUGUCGUACAGACUCGCAGAGAGGAGUUGGAUAGGGAGUUUGAGCAGCUAUGCCAGGAGAUAUGACUGUGACCCGGUACGAGAUGAGAUUUUAGAUUUGGCACAUCACACUGUAUGGUUGGUUCCUAUAGAGAGGUAGAUGCUCAGGAGUUUCAUUGCUGGCCUCAACUAUCGUCUACGUUACUGUUUGGUUCGAGAGGCCAAAACGGAUGCAGCGUGUGGAUAUAUAUCCAAACCCUAGGGUCACCCUCUUAUGUGCCUUCUUGAUGUUGUACACGUAGAUUUGAGGUAAACUUAUUAGUGGUUUGGUACGAGUAUGAAAUUCUGAGAACAAACUGGUCAGUGCUUGAUUUGGUUAUUGUGUUUCAUCUUCACUUGCAAUUCCCUUGGUUGUUUACAUGAUUUGCUACAUAUCUUCUUUAUAUGCUGGAUUGUUGGCUGAGCAGAGUACAUUAAGUUAUUAUGUGCACACAGUGGUUUCUUUCUGUACCUCAUUACUUGAUAAUAUUUUUUUUUGUACCUAUUAGAUUUAUGUACUGUACAGAUGGUUAGUAGUAUCAUUUAUAAUUCUUGCUUUUAUUACCUCGCCGAGGUUAGUUAUGGGGCUUAUUGUUGGUUGUCGUCCGAGAGAUGAGAUAGAGUUGCAUCUCGACCGUAGUCUUGGCGUCUCUAUUCCUUUUUGUAUUGUUGUCUUUCAUUUAGACAGUAUUUUUAUUUGGCAUUUCAGACUUGUAUUUCUGUUUUAGAGCUCAUGACACUGUAUUUACCAUUACCAGUUCAGGGAGAUUUGUUUUGUAUUGACAUUGUUUUUAUAUGUUAUUUGGCCUUAGACUUGUACUAAUUCAGUUUAUUCAGUAUUUUUAUUUUGUUCUUGUUAUGUUUGGCUUGCCUAGAAAGUGAGUUAAGCGCCAUCACGACCAGAUGGUGGUUUAGGUUGUGACAGUCGCAAUGUCUCUUUGUAAGCAACAUGCUAUUGUUAGUCCUUUUCUAUACCAUUGAAGUUCCUAUGAUGUUUAUACUAGAAGUUUAGAGUACUACUAUUUGACACUCAAUUUCAAAACCAUAGGUAUUAAUCAGCCCAGGUUCAUAUUGUUCAUGCGUGGAUAAAGAAUUGUUCAUUCCUUACACAUACUUUAAAGAAGUUCUAUAGAGUUGAUCGCAACACUUAGAGAGCAGAGUUUAAACUAAUCUUGCAUGAUGAAACUAACCUAAGAAUAACAAACUCCUAUUUAUGUAUAGAGUACAGGCUACUAUUGUAAAAUGCAUGAGUAUUUCACACAGAAAACUAAGGAUGAUUGUGUUCUACUAUACCUCCUAAGCUUUAUAAAGAGUAAAUAUGCUCGUGAGGAAUUCAAUUAUUGAUAUUGUGCAAGUUAAGCAAGUGACGACUUUAAAAGACAUAACUUUAACACAAUUAUCUUUUAACUAAAAUUAAGAAUCUACGAUACAUAACCAACAGAAGGUCAUCUAACGAGAUUCAAUGUACAAAAUAGGUAAUGAGACAUCAUGCAACUCAAAAUCAAAUUCAGAGAAAAAAAAAAGUUUUUACCCUGUGUUAAGUAACAAACUAGGGCUAGGAAGAGUGUCGUCAAGGUUGUGUAUCGAAAAUUGUUCUCAAUCCUCAAGCUCAGCCGGAUUUGAAAUAGACAGAAGAGUAAAAAUUGAGUAAGUACUAAAGAUUAGAACUUUAAGACUUUGAGUGAAUUCUUUUAUUCAAUUUGAUUUUUUCGAGGUUGUUGAAAGACAUUUAUGUCCGGCAUUUAUAGCCAAGAAGUGAAGUAGUUCUCGUUUGAAAACUUGAGAUUUUCAGGAUUUGAAAGCGGGAAUCCAUGAUGCAACACAGUGACGAAAUCAUGACGGUGUUAAUAGUGAAAAUUAGUGGAAAGAGUGAAGAGUGGUCACCUCUCUAAUUUGAUGAUGAAAAUAUAGCCAUUUGAAGCUUUAGACUUUUGGAUUUGAGCUUUACCUGCCGAAUUGAAACUCCGACCGCCGAAUCUUGCAAGGAUGACUGAGGUCAUGGAUUCUCUUUGGAUCUUUACGAAACAGCCCCAAUCUCAAGAGGCAUGUGAGGUUUGGAGAAGAAUCGUCAAAUCUUUAGAGGAAAUCUUUCGAUCUUCAGAUAAAAUAAUGAUGGUGAAGCUGCAGUUGCAUGCUUUUAGGGCUAAGGUUUUGAAACGAAUCAAGGUGAGAAAUGAGAGGAAGAAGGAAUAACCGACGAGAUUCGCGAUCUUAGGGUAGAGGAGAGACGGAGGAGAUCAGUGAAAGUCGGUGUAGCACCGUUUGGUGCUAGGGUUUUGACAGCUUCAGAGAUAAGAGAGGUGAGAGAGACGAGAGAAUUGGAAAAUGGGGGCGGCUGUUCUUUGAGGACAAAAAUAAACACGGUUGACCACCAAAUUUGACCCACCCUUUUAAACUUAAUUUAUUUAUACUUAAUAAUUUGUAAUAAAUAUGUUAAAAAUAUUUUCUAAUCAAUAAUACCUAUUUUUAUAAAAAUUAGUAACUAAUAUUAUUGAAAUUAAUAAUUUGGUAGUACAUAAUUAUAAGAUAUAUCAUACUUACUAUUUCGAAACUAUUAAAUAACCUUUAUAUACAUUACAUAUGGUUUAUAAUUAAUUUAAUAAGAUAUUCCUUAUUUUUUAGUUAAUUACCCUACUAUUUCAAUAAUUCAAAAUUAAUGUCAUAAUUUAGAAAAUAAAGUAUUUUUAUAAAUAAUUAAUUAAUUACAGUAAUUAGUAGUGUAUUUGAUGAUUAUAAUUUCUAUUACAUUUUGUUGAAAUUAUUUAAGCUCAUUUAAAUUAAUUAUAGAAGGGUUAAAAACCAAAAAGGCUAUAGUUUUAAAUACCUAAUUAAAUACAAAAUGACUAUUCUUUAAAAUAUUUUAGCCCAAAAUACGAAGCCCAAUUACCCCAUCUGACCGAGUCCAAACAACCCUUUAAUCCACUGUGGCUAUUCGUGUCCCUUUCCCUAAGCCAAUUAGAGCUUGCCACGUCACUCGUCUCAUUCCCUCACAAAACAAACACAUACCAUCCUUGCCGUUGAUCCAUAUCAUCAACGGACCAGAUUUAAUCCCGUUUUUUGAUUAUUUUCUAAGACGUGUGAUUUUUUAUCUCCGUCGUUGGAUCACAAGAAUCCAACGGCCAUCGAUUUUGCUCCAUAAAAUUGUUUUAAAACUCCUAACUCUCAAAAUAAUCGGAGUCGUUGAUCAAAUGAUCCAAUGGCUCCCGUUCCAUCUUCUUGUGACGACCCGAUCAGUCGUUUUGUAAAAUUGCAGCCCGUUUAUCAUUUUUAUGCUUCACACAUGUGUGUUUAUGAUAUUAUGACUUGCAGGGUUGGUUAGUUUCAUACCGGGAAGUUUUCGGGUUGAUUUGGACCCUUUGAUUCUUGACUUAGAAGCUUAAAUUCGAAAUGUUGACCAAACUUUUACUUUUAUGAAAACGACUUCGGAACUGUGUUUUUAUGGCUCUCAUAGCUUCAUAUCGUGAUUUCAGACUUGGGCGUAUGUCCGGAAUUGAUUUUAGAAGUCCGUAGAUUGGUUUAUGUUGAUUUGCCAAAAUUUGGCAAUUUGACGUUGAAAGGUUUGACCGUAGGUUGACUUUUAGCUAUCGAGCUCGGAAUUUAAUUUUGGAACUUGAAAUAUGUCCGUUAUAGUAUUUAGAACUUGUCUGCAAAAUUUAGUGUCGUUUGGAGUUGACUUGAUAGGAUUCAGACAUUUAGUUGUAAUUUUUAAAAUUCUUGAACUUUACUUUGAAAUUCAUGCGUUUUAGUGUUCGAUUUGUAGUUUUAUAUGUUGUUUUUGUAUUUUGAUUGUGCGGGCGAGUUUGUAUGAUAUUUUUAGACUUGUGUGGAGGUUUUAUUUGGACCCCCGAGGGCUCAGAUGCAUUUCAAACAUGUUUGAGAAUGGUUUGAACUGAAAUUGGACUGUUGGUGCUCAGCUAUCACAGUUGCGAGCACCAACACUGCAAUUGCGAAGGUGACAUUGGGGGUAUGAUGUCUCAAUCGCGACUCCCCUUCACAAUUGCGAAGACUGCUAGAGUUUUCCUCGGUUCGCAUUUGCGAACAUUUGUUUUUCUACAAUUGUGAGGAUUCGGAAAUGCGAACCCUGUGUCGCAAAUGCGACAUCUGCAGCUAGUUAAAGGGCUGAGAGACGGGAAUUUUGAAAAUAUUUUCUUAUUUUUGAACCCUAGACUCGGUAGGCGGCGAUUUGGAGAGGGGAUUUUUACCUACAAACCUUGGGUAAGUGAUUCUAAUCUAUUUCUAAUCAUAUUCCAUCAACAUAUCUUAGAGUUUAAGAUCAAAAUCAUGUGAAUCAAAGUAUCAAUUUGUAAAACUUUGUCAAGUUUUUGAAAAAUAAGAAAUUGAGUUUUGAGAGUCGAUUUGGACUCGGAUUUUGAACUAAUUACAUAUAUGAACUCGUGGGAUAAUGGGUAGUCAGAAUCUACCAUUGAACCCGAUUUUUUACAGGGCAGGCCCCGGGUUGGACUUUUUAGGAAAAGUGUAAAGAUCUUAGCUCUAUCUAUUGCAAUUGAUUUCCCUAGCAUUGUUUGAAGAUAUUAAGUCAAUUUUGGUUAGAUUUGCACCGUGUGGAGGCCAAUUUUAAGGGAAAAGAUAUUUUCGAGUAUUGAAUUGGCCUAGUUGAGGUAAGCUCUUGCCUAAUUUUGCGUGGGAGAAACUACCCCUUAGGAUUGAUAUUGAUUGAUUUAUUUGUCCUAUGUAAAAGUCAUGUAGGCAAGUUGACGAAUGGGUACAGGGGUUGUACAUGGUAUUUGAUCGGUUUAGGCUACUUAGACUCUUUCCAUGCUUUAAAUUAAUUGCAGUAUCAUGCUCUAAUUUCUCAUAGUCAAUCUAUUCCUACUUGAGUUAGUCUAUCUUUACAUGCCUUGAGUGAUUUCGUUCAUACUUGUUCUACAUCCUAAUUGAUAAUUUGGCUCAUGCUUUAGUGGAACUUGUUGACUCUAUUAUUGUUAUAUAUUAUCUCUUCCAUUAUUGAUUGUCAUUACUUAAAGUUAUUGUUCGUGUUAUCUCUUUCAUUAUUGAUUGUCAUUACUUGAAGUUAUUGUUCAUGUUAUCUCCUUCCUUGUUUAUUUCCAUUAUUUGAAGGCAUUUUUUGCACAUUAUCUCUUCCCACAGGAGUUAUUCUUAUAUAAUAACGUGGUUAUGCAUUAUAUCUCAUUGUUCAGUUAUUGGUGUUGAAGUUCUGAAAGUCGUUAUCACGUUGAGGUAAAAUUAUUAUUGUUGAAACAUCUUCCUUGUUGAGUAUUUUACAUUCAUCGUUGUUGUUGAUAUUCUUGUACAUGUUGUGGUGGAGACGUGUGCUAUUGUUGUGGAAAUAUUAAUAUUGUUGAUUGUGAUAUAUGGUCACUUGUGGUACGAGUUGUUAUUGUAAUAUGAUAUUGACGCAUGCAGUGGUAUAAUGCUUGGGGUUAAUGUGCAUGCGGCGGUAUAAGGUGGGACUUAUGUGCGUGUUGCUUGUAAGGGAACUACAUGAAGUGGAAUUAAAUGACUUGGUCAACCUAUCCACAAUCACACAUACCGCGUCAUAUUUCUGAGUCUGUGCGAGCCCUACAAAGAAGUCCAUGGUGACACGCUCCCAUUUCCACUUGGGAAUCUCAAGUCGCUGAAGCAGACCACCCGGCCGCUGAUGCUUAUACUUCACAUACUAACAAUUUAGGCACUGAGCUACAUACUCUACUUUAUCUUUCUUCAUCCCUCUUUGCCAAUAGUGCUGCCUCAAGUCCAUAUACAUCUUAGCUGCACCCGGAUGAAUGAAGUAUCAUGAACUGUGGAUCUCUUGAAGAAUCAACUCAUGCAAACCAUCCACAUUGUGCACACAUAACCGUCCCUGCAUCCGCAACAUAGAGUCAUCUCCAAUAGUAACAUCCUUCACAUCGCCAUGCUGAACCGUGUCCUUAAGAACAAGCAAAUGGGGUUCAUCAUACUGACGCUCUCUGAUACGAUCAUAUAGAGAAUACCGAGAAACCACAUAGGCAAGAACUCGACUGGGAUCCGAAACAUCCAAUCUAACAAAUUGGUUGGCUAAGGCCUGAACAUCCAAUGCUAAUGGCCUAUUGGCGGCCGAUAGAUGUGCUAAACUACCAAAACUCUCCGCCUUUAGACUCAAGGCAUCGACCACCACAUUGGCCUUCCCGGGAUGAUAUAGAAUGGUGAUAUCAUAGUCCUUAAGCAACUCUAACCACCUCUGCUACCGUAAGUUUAUUUCUUUAUGUUUGAACAGAUGUUGUAGACUCCGGUAGUCGAUAAAGACCUCACAAGGAACACCGUACAAAUAAUGCUGCCAGAUCUUCAAUGCAUGAACGAUGGCGGCCAACCAAGUCGUGGACCGAAUAAUUCUUCUCAUGGGUCUUCAGCUGUCGAGACGUAGAGGCAAUCACCCUACCGUCUUGCAUCAAUACCGAGCCAAGGCCAACAAGUGAUGCAUCACAAUGCACAUUAUAAGACCCCGGGCCCAUAGGAAACACUAACACUGGGGCUGUAGUCAAAGCAGUCAUGAGCUUUUGAAGCUUGCCUCACACUCCUCAGACCAUCUAAAAGGAGAACCCUUAUGGGUCAAUCUGCUCAUAGGUGCAACAAUAGAUGAGAAACCCUCUACGAAACGACGAUAUUACUGGGCCAAACUAAGAAAACUCUGAAUCUCAGUAGUUGAAGACGGUCUGGGCUAACUUUGUAUGACUUCAAUCUUCUUUGGAUCAACCAUGAUCUCCUCAGUUGACACCACAUGACCCAAAAAUGCCACCGAAUCAAGUAAGAAUUCACACUUUGAGAAUUUUGCAUACAACUUCUUCUCUCUCAAGGUUUGGAGCACGAUCCUCAAGUGCUGCUCAUGAUCUUCCCGACUGUGGGAGUACACCAAGAUGUCGUCAAUAAACACAAUGACGAAUGAAUCAAGAUAAGGUUAGUAUACAUUGUUUAUCAUGUGCAUAAAGGCCGUUGGGGCAUUAGUUAGCCCAAAUGAAAUCAUAAGGAACUCGUAGUGACCAUACCGAGUCGUGAAGGCAGUCUUCGGAAUAUCCGGAUCCCAAAUCUUCAUCUAACGAUAACCUGAACACAAAUCAAUCUUUGAGAACACUCUAGCACCAGGUAGCUGAUCAAAUAAGUCAUCAAUGCAUGGUAGUGGAUAUAUGUUCUUCACUGUAACCUUGUUCAAUUUCCGAAAUAAAUACACAUGCGCAUAGAACCAUCCUUCUUCUUCACGAACAAGACCGGAGCACCCCAUGAUGAUACACUAGGCCGAAUGAAACCCUUAUCAAGCAACUAUUGCAACUGCUCCUUUAACUUCUUCAGCUCUGUUGGGGCCAUACAAUAUGGUGGAAUAGAAAUGGGCCGAGUGCCCGACAACAAGUCAAUACCAAAAUUGAUAUCCCUAUCGGGCGACAUGCCCAGAAGAUGCGCUAGAAAUAAAUCUGGAAAGUCUCUCACAAAGGCUAGAUAAGCAUCACACCCCUUCUCAACCAUCCGUUGAGCCUUUAGAAAUGUUACAACCUUACUAGGAACAUAAUCUAAUGUACCCCUCCAAUCUAACCUUGGUAAACCUGGCAUAGCCAGCGUCACAGUCUUGGCGUGACAAUCUACAAUAGCAUGAUAGAGCGAUAACCAGUUCAUGCCCAUGAUAACAUCAAAGUCUACCAUACUAAGUAACAAUAGAUCAACUCUGGUCACGAAACUACCAAUUAUAACUAAACAUGACCGAUACACACGGUCUACAAUAAUAGAAUCUCCCACAUGCAUGGACACAUAAAUAGGAGAACUCAAUGAAUCAUGUGAUAUAUCCAAAAACGGAGCAAAGUAAGAUGACUCAUAUGAAUAAGUGGAUCCCGGAUCAAAUAAGACUGACGCAUCUCAAUGGAAAAUUGGAACCAUACCUGUAAUGACUGAGUCUGAAGAAACUUCCUACGUCCUACCUAGAAAAGUAUAGAAUCUUGCCUGGCCUCCCCCUCUAGGGCGACCUCUACCCGUUCGUCCCCCACCCCUAGCUGGCUGUGCGAGUGGAGCAGUAUCCGGGGCAGCAAUCAUGGCCUGAGAAAUCUGCGGACCUGACUGAAUCCGUGGAACCUGAGUAGCAUGGGGAGGUGCACCCCUCUUGAGUCUGGGGCAGUCUCUAACCAUGUGACGGGUAUCACUACACUAAAAGCAAGCUCUCGGUGGGCGUGGCUGCUAGAACUGGCUCGGGUCUGGUAGAUGUAGUAGAAAGUGGCUGAGCAAAAUGUGCAACCUGAGACCUCGAAAUAACUGGAGCACCACUAGAAGCUGGAAGUGCUGAGUGAACUGGACGGCUCACAUAGCCUCUACCAUGACGGGUUGUAGCUGCAGCGUGACCACCAUUAAAUCCCUCCGUACCUCGAGGCCUUUUGGCCUCCCUGUCAUCUCUCUCACGGCCCCGCAUACCCUCCAACCUCCAUGCAAUCUCUACCACCUGCUAAUAUAGGGUAUCUAUCUCCAACUCUCGAUCCAUGCUGAACCUAAUACCAUAGUUGAGGCCCUCGAUAAAUCGACGAUUUUGAUCUCUAACUGUAGAAAUCAAGGCAGGUGCAUGUCUGGACAAAUCACUGAAUCAGACAGCAUACUGUGACAUAGUCAAAGUACCCUGGUGCAGCUGCUCAAACUCUGUACGCCAUGCAUCCCAAAGGGUAUGGGGAUCAAACUCCCUCAAGAAUAACUCGGAAAAUUGAGUCCAUGUAAGUGAAGCUGCAUCGACCGGGCUACCCUUCUCGUACACCCGCCAUCGCUGAUACCCUGCUCUUGACAGCUGGAAUGCAGUAAAAGCAAACCCACUCAUCUCCACAAUACCCAUGGUGCAUAGAAUACGGUGGCAAUCCUUAAGAAAACCAUGUGCAUCCUAUGAAGCCAAACUACUAAAAGUAGGAGGGUGAUACUUCUUGAACCUCUCAAGCCUAAGCUCCUCCUCCUUGGAUGUUGCUGCCCUAACCACGGGCUAAACCGGAGCAAUAGGCUAUAUCAUUAUAAUCUAUGGGACCUGAUCAACCUGGACCAGCUGCUUUUGGGUAUGGGCCGUGGGAGUCUGAGAUCCUCCCCUAGCCAGAGAUGUGGCUGGUGCAAGUGGAAUCAACCCCGCCUGAGCUAAGGAACCAAACAUGCUCAAAAACUGUGCGAGGGUCUCCUAAAGUGCUCUGGUGCAAGUGGAAUCAACCCCGCCUGAGCUAAGGAACAAAACAUGCUCAAGAACUGUGCGAGGGUCUCCUAAAGUGCUGGGGUGGCAACAGGCGCCUCGGGUGCCUGUCCCCCAACUAGAGCCAUUGGUGGCUCCUCUGUCGUAGCUCGGGCAGGUGCUCUGGCUGCACCACGUGCCCUUCCUCGGCCUCUGCCCCCACUCCGGCCUCUCGCGGCUCUAGCAGAGGGCGUGGAUGUCUGAUCAUCGGGUCCAGUAGUGCAUGUCCUCACUAUCUAUGAGAAAAUAAAAAGUCAAAGAUUUAGUUUUCGAAGUCAACCAAUUUGCACGAUAAGUAAUCAAAGAAGAGAUGUUUUCCUAACAAUUACGUAGCCUCUUGAAGAUCAGUACAGACGUCUCCAUACCGAUCCGCAAGACUAUACUAAACUUGCUUAUGACUCAUAACACCUAUGAACCUAGAGAACUGAUACCAACUUAUCAUGACCCCAAUUUCCCACCGUAGGAUGUUGUGAUGGCACCUAGUCUCUACGACUAGGUAAGCCUAGCAUUUGACAAUAAUUGAAUAGAUAUAAUUAACAAAAUAUUAAAAACCAGUCUGAUAAACUCAUAUAAACUUUCGAAAAAAAUUGAAUCGCAACCAUACACUCUCCAAGAACGGUGGAACAGAGUCAUAAGCUCUACAGAGUAAGCUAAAGUGUCUAGUACAUCACUGUCUCAAUGAAAAUACAACAAUAGUAAGAGUAAAAGAAUGUGACUCUAAGGCCUAUGGACGUAGAGCAGGUAUACCUUGAAGACUCCAAAGCAUCAACUCAAAUCAACUUUAGCGUCCGCCACGGGCAGACGUACCUGGAUCUGUACAAAAUUUAUGCAGAAGCAUAGUAUGAGUACACCACAACGGUAAACCUUGGUAGAGUAGUGACGAGGCCAAGUCAAGAGACCUACUAGGAUAUAAAUAAAUAGCGUGAAAAUGUAAUAAGGAUAAAUAAUGGAAAGUGGAGAAAUAACUGAUACGAACCAAGAUAAUAGCAUGAACUAAUACCGGGAAUUAAAGAUGGAAGUAACAUAAAAUAAGAAACUAAAGAGAACCACAAUGAUCAUAUACGGACAAUUUCUAGAACAAAAUAACAAGAAAUGUUCCCACCAAAACUCUUUGUAACAUGAAAUAAACAACAAGAAUCAUAACGAGGUACCGCCUCGUGUACAAUAGAAUCACAACCGAGGUACCGCCUCGUAUAAUCAAGAAUCACAACCGAGGUACCACCUCGUAUUCACAUUUCUCAAUUUCAAUCACAAUCUUUCCUUAUACAGUCGCAUGAGCCUUACAUAUGAAAUAGGUUUUGAAAAUAGUUUUUUUCCGAAAUAGCUACACCCACUUUAGCCCACCUUAUGACACCGUGUGGAAUGACUACCUAUUCUUCAGAGUAGCCAGCUCAGGUUUAUAUCUGCAAGGUUGUCCGACUUCAUGGCGUGCCAGUAUCCAUCAUCUCUGACCGGGUUACGUAGUUCACAUCACGUUUCUGGAGAGUUGUAAAUCAUGAGCUAGGAAAACAGGUUGAGUUGAGUACAACAUUUCACCCUCAGACGGACGGAUAGUCCGAUCGCACUAUUCAAAUAUUGGAUGAUAUGUUUCGUGCCUGAAUUAUAGAUUUCGGGAGUGCUUGGGAUCAGUUCUUGCCACUCGUGGAGUUUGCCUAAAACAACAACUACCAAUCGAGUAUUCAGAUGGCUCCUUAUGAGGCCCUAUAUGGUAGACGGUAUCGUUUUCUAGUUGGGUGGUUUGGGUCGGGAGAGGCUAAGUUAUUAGGCAUAUAUUUGGUCUGAGAUGCUUUGGAGAAGGUCAAGAUGAUCUAGGAUCAACUUCGUACAGCCCAAUCUAGACAGAAGAGUUAUGCAGAUCGGAAGGUUCGCGGUGUUGCAUUCAUGGUUGGAGAGCGAGUCUUGCUCCAGGUUUCACCCAUGAAGGGUGCGAUGAGGUUCGGGAAGAAGGGCAAGUUGAGCCUUAGGUAUAUCAGACCUUUUGAGAUCCUCGAGAAGAUUGGUGAGGUGGCCUACAAGCUUGCAUUGCCACCUAGUUUAUCUGCGGUUCAUACGGUGUCCCAUGUCUCUAUGCUUCGGAAGUUUAUGGUAAUCCGUCUCAUGUUCUAGACAUCAGUACUGUCCAAUUGGACGAGGAUUUGACUUAUAUUGAGGAGCAUGUGGCUAUCUUGGACAGACAGGUCCGGAAGUUGAGAUCAAAGAGUAUUACUUCGGUAAAGGUUCAAUGGAGGGGUCAUCUGGUCGAGGAGACCAAGCACAACAUGCGGAGUAGCUAUUCACUAUUUCAAGUAUGUCCUUAUGCACGUUCAAGGACGAACGUUUGUCUUAAAAAGGGGAGAAUAUGACGACCCGAUCGUUCGUUUUGUGUAAUUGUGCCCAGUUUCCCCUUUUGAUGCUUCCCACGUGUGUUUAUGAUUUUAUGACUUGCGGAGUUGGUUAGGUUCAUUCUGGAAGGUUUCGGGUUGAUUUUGACCCUUUGAUUCUUGACUUAGAAGUUUAAACUAGAAAUGUUGGCCAAACUUUGACUUCUGUGAAAAUGGCCCAGAAAUGUGUUUUUAUGGAUCUGAUAGCUUCGUAUCGUGCUUUCGGACUUGGGCGUAUGCGCGGAAUCAUUAUCCUGAUCAAUGUAGAUUGUUAUUGCAUUAAAAUGAGCAAUCUUGAUGCCCCUUUAAGUUAUGUUUGUGACACAAAUUCUCCUAAUAAUCUCCAUCAUGGGCAUGGUGUUUGAAAAUUUCCCAACAACUGUGAAUUUGCAUCUUACAGCUAGUUUGACCAUAUAAUCAUCUCCAUUGAAAAUAACUGCUGGUUGACCUUGCUUGGUAGUGAUUUUAGUAGGAGUAAACUCAAUCGAUUCAUGUUCAGCUUCAUGUCUUGCCCUUAGUUUGGUAACAUAGGAAUGUUUGAUUAUGGGUGGAGGUGGAGCAGGGGAGCUGGAUGGUUGUUUAGGUUUAGCACUUGUAUCAUUUGCUUGAUUACUAAUGGUGGUAUUAGUGGUUGUUUGCUUAGGAACAGGCUGUGAGAAAGGAGACUUAGUGUGAUAUGGUUUGUCAAAGUUGGAGGAGAUCUUAGGAAGGGUACUUUUGCUGGGUGUUGGUUGGUGUUUAAGAGAUGUUUGGUCUGUGGGGGUUAACUAAGUUCUUCCUUCCCAGUUUUGCUACAUAGCACGAGGGGGCUUCUAAGUAAUAUUGAUCUGGUUAUCAUGAUGAGGAGCUGUAGGCUUGGGUUGUUGAUUCAAUGUUGAAGGAGUAGGUUCAUUACCAAUAGGAGUUUCCUUAGUGACAGUAGUUGGUGGAGCCUGUCUAGAUUCUAGUUGUUCAACAUGGUGAGCAGAUAUAGCUGAGGCUGAGGGAAAUGAAAUUGUGGAUACCUGUGAUUGUUGUGAUUUCUUGGUAGUGUUAGAAUCAAUCUCUUUUGCAGCAUUCUUCUCCUUUUGUUGGCUUAAAAUGGCAUGCGCAAUUGAAUCACCCUGUUGGAUCACCUAGGGGGCUGAUGGAAGAGUCACAACAUGAUCAUCAACUUGGAGUGGUAUUUCUUAGUUUGGACCUUGACGACUACCUUCAGUAAUACUUUGGGUCACUUGAACAACACUUUGCUCGUUUGAAUUAGCAGUUAAUUUGUUAGUGGUAUUAUGUCGAACACCUGGUGUCUGUAAGUUCACAACAUUGGUGUUUUGCAUUGAUGUGGCAAUUGGCUCAUUGACGUUGUUUUUUGAUAUGUUUCUAUCCAUCUCCUCUUCAAUUUGCAUCGAUUAGCCUUGCACACCUGUAGCAUCCUGUCCGAUCAAAUGGGUCAUCGGUCGUGUUCAUAUCAUCGGCGAUGAAGAUUUCAGUAGUGGAAUGGUCUGAGCUUUGGUGGGUCGCUGGUAUCUGGGUUGGAGAACAAUCUCCCCAGUUUGGAAUCACAUGAUUUAGCUUAGUAGUGAGCUGAGAUUUUGUAGAAGAGCCAAGACAAUUUUUUGCUACAUUUAUCGCUCCACCAUUUUUGAAAACUAUAGUUGCUGGGGAAGAGUUGAGAAGGAAGCCCAGUUGGGGUUUGCGUGCAAUGGUGAGGCGCUUCUUUUGAUCCUGGUCCAGUAGUUUUCUAUCACCGGAUGUUGGAGUUGCAUGCAUUCUGGCAUGACAAAGUUACUAUUCACGCCGUUCGUAUGCUCGAGAGAAAAAAUUGAUAUUUCGGUGGAGUUGAUAUGGUGGGUAAUGUGAUUUAACCUUCUGGUGUUAUUUUCUUUGUUUGGGUAUAAUAUUAUGCCUUAACACUUAAUGAACUUAGUGUGAAUAUGAGGCUAGGGACCAUUUACGGAAAUAUGGUCAUUUGUUAGGUUGAAACAAACUUGUUUACUUUAGUACCUCUGAUGAUACUCUUUAGUAAUUCCAUAUGAGGAUAUUAAUUCAUGAAUAUAUUAGAAAUCAAGGUUUGGUCUGUGUACGAACCCAUGAUUAACUUAAAUAUAGGCUGUUGAGGUUGAAGACUCCUAAAAACUUGAACUGUGUAUCUCUUCUACUUCUUAAGUUACAUGACUCAAUUGUUUUGAACCACUGAAAUAACCUGUUGAUGUUCUUUUCCCUUAACUUCACCUGUAAUUAGUUCCCUAGAGUAUCCUUUUGCAUAUUGGUAACUUUUAAUAGUGAAAUAUACACUGAUGAUUGGAUUGUGAUCUCACUGAUGUUAUCUGCUAUCACAUGUUCAAUGAAACAUCCUGUUUAGCUUCUGUUAGAAGUGCAUAUGCAUGAACCUAUGUACUGUUAUUACAAUUGUAUUGGAACUCACAAUGGAUGCCUCAUUAGCACUUGAACCUAUAGGGAAGAGUAAAUGUGAGUGAUUAGGAGUAUUUAAGAGUGAGACUUAGUUUAUGGCUAAGAUUCUCUCCCUAACACAAGUACUCCUCGGGGCCCUUGAGACCUUUGUAAACUCUAAAGUGCCAGGGGUCCAAAGGGUGUCUUGGCUAUGAAUAGAAUUUCACCUUAAGCCCUCAAUCAUUAACACUUAUUAAUAUCUUUAGGUUUAGUGUUAAAUGAAGGAAAAGGCUUAACUAUGAUCUUCUUUACUCUGUUUUACAUUACACAAUUGUAUUUGUAUUACUGACUCAUAAUGUUUGUUGCAUUUUUGUUGGGCCAUUGCAUUGAUAUCAUUUAUGCUUAAAUAUCAUUUUGGGACAUAUAUAUAAUGUAUCUCUUUCCUUUUCUCUAUGUAUGACCGGACUGGGCCUGUUGAGUUCUCAAAGAACUCAGGCCCAAGUUCUAGCUUGAGUUGGAGUUAUUGAAGUUGCUUCUGCCUGCUUGCUGUCUGUUGGGCCUAACCUUCUUGUGGCCCAAAUCAUGAGUCCAGUUCCCUUUUUUCAUUGCUUUUACACAAAUAUGUUGUUGCUCCUAUAUGUAUAUAAUACUAACAAUAUUAAGUGAAUGUGUUAUCCUUUAUUAUUCUUUUAUUCUUCAGAAACUUAGGCAAGUUAAAAAUAGUAGGUAACUAAAAGAAUUACCAUCUCUUCAGUAGUUAAAUAACUUCAAUUUGCUUAGUUACUUCUUCUUUACAGUUUUCACUUUAACUCAUACUAACCGUUUUCAUGAAGCUUUGUGAAGAUUAAGAUAGAUUUGAAAAGCAAGCACUUUCUUUCUUAAAAUCCAAAAUAAUUAAAAAAAUGAUUUCAAAAUCAAGUUUUCUACAAAAACCAAACGAACACAGUCGCAGUCAAAGAACUUCAAAUGGCUUUCUUCUAGACUGGGAUGCAGAAUUUGGAAAUGAUUUUUCAAGGUAUAUCUAAACCCAUUUCUCCAAUAACCCUUAUUUCACUAAGGUUACGCAAAUAGCCAUGUUUUGUUUCAAAAGGAAAGUAUUUUUAAACCUAGCCAUACUUACAAAGUUUACAAAUAAAACCUUAUAGACCUACUUUCAAAGUUCUUUCAAUCACAUUAAUAAGAACACUUAUAAGGCUUUUACAAGUGAAUACUGCACUCUCCUUUCCAUAUUGCAUACAUCAUUUUCAAGUAAUAAGCUUUAAACAUGGCAUAGGGUAAGCCAUACACUUUUAAGUACUAAAUGAGUGGAAUAUAGAUAGUUAACUAAGUUAUAUGGAGCUACCUCAGGUAGAUUUUAGGAGGUGCCUAAUAGCUUCCUCUUAGAAGAACAAGAACCCUUACCCAAAUCUCACUGGUUAGCAGACCAACAGGAUAAUAAUCUUAAUGACUAAAAUAGGUACCCUAGUAUACCUUUAAAUAUUAGGUGGCGACUCUCUUUUAUUAUAAACAUUGAAACCACUAGUUGAAUCUUGUUUUCUCUCGCGUAAAAUAGGAUGCAACAACCAUCAUAAGAACCAUAAGUUGGAGGCGGACUAUGAUAACCAUGACUGACUGAAGUACCAUGAGAAGCCUGAAGCGCCGAGUGAACUGGCCUACUAGAAUAACCUCUACCAAAAAUUACUCUUGCAUCCAGAUGAGCCACCACUAAAUCCCGCUAAAUGACGAGACCUCUUUUCCUUCGUCGCCUUGCUCGCCUGACCAUAAAUGCACUCAAUCCUCCGAGCUAUCUCCACUGCUUGUUGAAUGGUAGUCCAAGUCUCUGUCUCCCUAGAUUUAUUGAGCUUAAUACCAAAAUUAAGCCCCUCAAUGAACCUCCUAGGAAUCAAAAAGGCUGCAUAAUAAGACUAUUCCGCAAUCCUCAUUUCAUACUGAGUAACAAUGAUAUCAUCAUGUUGUAGGUGCUCAAAUUGACUAUGCAACCCAUUUCUUCUAAUGAGUGGAAUAGAGCAGAAAACUAAGUCCAAAGUAGAGGAAAUGACCAUGCGGGCCUGCAAGGCUCAUAAGUUUGCCACCAUCUCUUGGUUGGCCCUCACAACAGAAAAGUAGUGAAAUCAACUCCAUUGGACUCCAUAAGACCCAAAUUGUUUCAUGAAACCUAUCCAACAAAUCCUGUGCAAUAGUUGUAGGAUCACCAUCAAAAUGUGGAGGAUCUAACUUCUGGAACCGAACCAUCUUUUUCUUCUCAUUAAUAGACAUUGAGGCCUCAUCUCUGACCUAAUUGUAGCAAUAGGCUGGACUACCCCAACCGGUGGAAUAACUAGAACUCUCGGAGUGAGGAACAUAGUAGUGGCCUACUCUAGAGUGUGAGUGGUUGGGGUCUGUGAUUCCCCUCCAGCCUAAGAAGUAGCCGGGACCAUAGGAAUCAUCCCAAUCUAUGCCAAACCAUUGAAGUAACUCAAAAUCCAUACCAUAGUGUCUUGAAGCACCGGAGUAGCUACAAAAAACCCUCAGGAACCUAAGCUAGACCCGGUGCAACAACCUACUCCAGAACCUGAUCCACCUCUGGAGAUAGAAGUGGCUCCUCAGAAGUUGCUCUAGCACAAGCAUGAAUAGCUACAGGUGCUCCACCUCUAGGUGCUGCUGCACAUGCCCUAGUUUGGGCUCUAACCCUAACCCUAGCUCUACUCCGACUCUACCUCUAGUAGUGACUAUAACCUGGGGUGCUGGCUCCUGCUUAACCGCUACUGACGCGUAUAAUCUCACUAUCUGUGAGAUAAUAGAAGAGUAAGGAUUCAAACUUUAAGAUAAAGAAAAGUCGCACGAUAGAGAAAGAAAGAAAGUGAAGUUUCCUAACUAUCCCAUAGGCUCUGAAAUUUAAUUAUAGACGUCUCCAUACUGAUCUACAAGACUCUACUAUACAUACUCAUGACACCCAUGAACCUAGAGCUCUGAUACUAAUGGUGGGAUUUAAGCUAACCUGUUAGGUAAGCCAACAAUUAUAAUCAAUUUAAGCAAGGCAUAACAAGAUAUAUUAAGCUGAUGUAGCAUAAAUAAAACAUAAAUAUGUCUCAAUUUAAAAAUAUCAAAUGCAGAGAAAUCUAACAACUCCGAAAACAUGGCGGUACGAAGAAUGAGCUAAUAAGAUGAAAUACAACUAAGUCUCACAAGACAAGGGUACUAUGUGGAAUAUGAUAGGAGUCAUUAAAGAAAAGAAGGGGACUCCAUAGGUUGUUGAUCAAGUACGAUAGUUCACCACAAAGUCUCAAAAACGUAGCUACUAAACACCCUCUUGAACAACUUUAGGUCCAGUACUAAGAUCUGCACAAAAUAUACAUAAGUGUAAUGUGAAUACAAAUACCACGUGUACUUAUUAAGUAUCAAGUCUAAUCUCGAAAAAAUAGUGAUGAGAUUUUGACAAAAGUUCGAUACUCAUCUUCAGAAUCUAAGAAGUUCAUAAUAACAUGAAAUCAUAAAAUUUAGCCAAGAACAACAAAUAUAACAUCAAAGUGUAGAAAUGAGAGAUAUGAUAAGCAUGCAUCUCAAAAUAUGAUAACCAAAGCAUAAUUCAAUUUCCAUGUUUGCAUAUAGAACCUAUAUGCACCAAGAAGCCUAAAACUACCCCAAACAUGUAUUGCGUUGGUAUACAUAUAUACACUCAUCACCUAGCAUAUAUGUCACCCACAAAUUAUGUUGCAUGUUAACAGAUGAGUCCAGUUUUAAAAAAGAAUCACUUUUAACAAGGUUAAAUAAGAAACUUACUUCCUUCCAAAAUAGCUUCAACUCUCAAAUACAAUUUUUCCUUUGAAAUUCUCCCUCAAACGUCUCAAAUCUAUCCAAACAACACUUAACGAGGUCAAAUAGAGUCAUAAAAAUAAAUUUCAAACAACAAAGUUUCAUUCUUUAAUCAAAUUUCAAACUUUAACAAAUAGUCGAUUUGGACUCACAUGGUCAAAAUCUUAUUCCAAGGUAAACUCUUGGUGACCAUAAUCCCACGAGUCCAACUAUGUGAUUAACUUUCAAAUCCGGUUCUAAAUUUGUAUUCAAAACCUCAAAAUACACUCUCUUAAGUUGUAGACAAAAUCCCUAAAUUUCAUUCUUAAAUUCCAAAUUUUAGGUGCAGAAAUCCAUGGGGAAUCAAAAUAUAUGAUCAACUCCAAGUAAGAAUACUUACCCUCAAGAGUGGAGUGAAAACCCUUUUCAAAAUCCCCUCUUCCCGCUCUCUAAAACUUAAAAAUGGUGAGAAUAAGCUAAAUCUCUACUUAAAAGAAUUUGCUAGGCAUUUCGCAAGUGUGGGCCACUUGGCCGCAGGUCCUACGUCGCAGGUACGACCCCAUUCACUACAGGUGUGUAACCUACCAGCCCUAGCCUCCUUGCACAGAUGUGACCCUUCAUCCACAUAUGUGGCACCACAUGUUCGACUCGUGCACCGCAGGUGCGACCACACCAGAAAAAUAAAAAAUUCUAACUUCGCUCAAAAUGAUCUGAAAUCAUUCUGAAACUCAGUCGAGCCCCCCGAGACCCCAUCCAAUCAUCCUAACAAGUUUAUAUACCCUAUAAAAACUUGUCCAGGGGUUUUAAAUUCUACAAACAAUAUUAAAACCAAGAAUCAAGCAUCAAACCAAAAAUAUCAAAUUCUCUUAAGUUAAAAUUCCAACUUUCCACUAGAAGAGCCAAAUCAACCCCGGACAUCCGAGACCCGAAUCAAAUACAUGUACAAAUCUAAAAUAAUCAUACAAACAUAUUUUAACCAUCAAAACACCAAUCUAUGAUCGUUAAUUCAAUAUGUUGACUUCGAUCAACUCUUUUAACCUUAAACCUUUACUUAGGAACUAAGUGUUCCAAAUCACUCCCGAACUGUAAUGACACGGUUGGUCAUUUUUUAUGUAUUUGAGCCCUUUUCCACUAUUUGAUGCUUCACGUAUGUUUAUUUGUUUUUUUUGUGACUUGCAGGGAUGGUUGGUUUGGUUCCGGGAAAGUUUUGGAGUGAAUUGGAACACUUAGUUCCACGGUUGGAAGCUUAAGUUAUAAGAGUUAACCAAAGUGUGAUUUUUUGUGUAAAUAACCUCGACUAGUAUUUUGAUGGUUCCAAUAGUUUCGUAUGAUGAUUUUGUACUUAUCCAUACGUCCGGAUUUGGGUUUGGAGGUUCCUAGGUUGAUUUGGCUCUAAUUGUCGAAAGUGGGAAAUUUGAAGGUUGGGAAAGUUCAUAGGUUUGACCGGGAUUUGACUUUGAUGAUUUCAGGUUUAUAUUAUUAUUUUGGGACUUGUAAUAGGUUCAUUAUGUCAUUUGGGACUUGCGUGCAAAGUUAGGGUUCCUUCUGAAUCAGUUAGGCUUGAAUCAGACGCUUGGUUUGAAGUUGGGAGUUUAUAAACUUAAGAGAUUGAUCUCGUGUGUCACACCUGCGGAAUUUUGAAUGCAGCUGUGAGGUCAUAGAAUUGAGGAAGGCAUUGCAGAUGAUAGGUUUAAUGGGAUCAGGAGAGUCCACAGAUGCGGAGGUCUGAGCACAAGCGCAGAGGUUGGUCCGUAUGAGCGGAUCCGAAGAAGCGGGAUUUUGGAUGCAGAAACGGAAAGUCGGUUCUUAAGAUUUUUGCGCAUCUAGGAGGUAUUUUCCUUAUAUGCGGUAUCAGAAAAGCAACAUUUGGGAUCAUAGAAGCGGUAAUUACUGGGCUGAACAUUUUUAAUCGAGGGUUUGACUUCAUUUAUCAUAUUUUGAGAUUGGGAGCUCGGAUUGAGGCGAUUUGUAAGGAAUGUUCACCACACUUUAGAGUGUAAUUAAACUCUACUUGAUUUUGAUGUUAGAUCUUGUUUCCCCCAAGGAUUAUUACACCAGGACUAUGUGAAUUGAAAGAAACAUUUGAGGGUUUUGACUAUGAUUUUGGAGAGUAAAAAUUGGGGAUUUGGGGACCAAUUUGAAGUCGGAUUUGGACGAAAUUUGUAUAUUUAGACUCGUGUUGGAAUGGGUGAUCCCGAUUUGUAUCUAUAUUGGGUUUUGAGGUGCGGGCCCGGUGUUUUUUUAGAAACUUUAUGUAUUUGAUUAUAGAUCGAGCCUUUAUGCUCUAGUAUUAUUUCCUUAGCAUUAUUUGACACUAUGGUGUGUUAUCUAAUUAGAUUUGAGCCGUUCAGAAGUCAAUUCAUGAGUUAAAGGCUUAUUGGAGUAUUGAUUCUCAUGCUUGAGGUAGGUAUCUUGCCUAGGCAUUGCUUGAGGGUAUUUUUCCCGUGGACUACGAUACUCGCUGUGUGUUGGUGGUGAUGCACGUAUGUGCUGACGAGCGUAUAUGUAUAUACCAUGAUUAUUUAUGCUCUUUCGCUAACAUUCCUUCGUGUUUCCGUGUUUUCUCUACUUGUCUAACUACUUGAGCUAUAUUCAUGCUAGAAAUUAUGUCUAGGCUAUGUGCUUAUCUGUUAGAGACAUAAUAGGGCUAUUUUUGUUAUGUUGAGUUGUUUGCAUUGAUUGUAGUCAUAUUAUUCAGCCAUGGUACUGUAUCUUCUUGUUAUAUCACCAUCUUUAUAUACUUCUUACAUGUUAUCUUAUAUGUUGUUGGCGUCCUUACUUGUAUGAUACGGGUUUCAGUGGAUUUAUUGCAUGUUGGUAUAAUUUGUGUGGUAUAUUGAUUUUCGAUACAGUGAGAUAUUAACUUAUGGAGAUCUGAGCGGAUUAAUAACCGAACUGGUGCCAUAGAGCCAUGUUAAUGUUAAUGGUCAGGUGACACAUAUGCCAGGCUCCAUAUUUGGGUGAGUGGUAUAGAUAUUGAGGUGACGCGCGUCAGGCCAUUUGAGCUGAGUUAUGAUGAUUGUUGACUUUUGAUUUGAUCGGCGCUUGGUCUAGGAUCCAUCCCUCCAGAGUUAGGUGAUAACACAUGUUACUUUGGGCCCUGUGAGUGUAGGCACUUUGUAUGUUCUUAGUGAGGGGAGUUGUGCCAAGCACCCGUACAAUGUUGAGGUUGUGCUUACUUGAUGAUUUAACUGUGAAUUCUUUAAUGUUGGUAGUGAUACUUGUCAUGCAUGCAUAGAGAUGUAUGUUCCUCAUUCUAAUUGAUACUUUAUAUCUUGAAGUUGAUGCCUUAGUUGAUUUGUUUGGAAAAAAUACUUAUUUUUCUGUUAAUGCGAUCAAGUUGCACUUUCUAUUCUUGAGUUGUAUUUCCUGUUACUAUUUUCAUUAUACUGUUACUAUUAUUGUUGGCUGACUGAAAAUGAGUAGCGGACUUUGCCAAUCUCAUCAGUAUCUUCAAUCAGAGGUUAGUCUUGCUACUUACAGAGUACAUGGGGUGUAUUGUACUGAUACUACACUUUGCACAUUAUGUUUAUAUCGAGGUGCAACUGAUAUAGUUGAUUGCUAGAGCAUUGUAUUAGUACCUAUUGGAGAUUUCAAGGUGUCUCCGUUGUUCCAUUCGCAGGCCUUGGAGUCCCUCUCCUUACUUUUGUUAUUACUGUUUAUGUUCUUCAAACCGUAUUUUAUCGUUAUUCAGACCGUUGUACUUAUAUACUCUAUAGAGCUCACAUACCCGUUGACAUCAAGUUCUGGGAUGGUAUUUCAAUUAUAUCCAAUUUGGCCACAGUUAUUUAUCUUAUUCUGAUUUUGAGACUAUUACUUAUUGUUAAUCAAUUUUAUUUCAGUAUAAUGAAUGUUGGCUUGCCUAGCAAGCAGUGUUAGGCGCAGUCACGGCUUCGGUGGGAUUUGGAGUUGUGACAAGUUGGUAUUAGAGCACUAGGUUGCUUAGGUCUCAUGAGUCAUGAGCGAGUCUAGUGGAGUCCUGCGGAUCGAUACGGAUACGUCUGUACUUAUCUUCGAGAGGCUAUGGGGCUAUGAGGAAAACUUCUCAUUCUUUAAUUCUCUAUCGUGCGGAUUUUCUUAUCCCUAAUUCUGAAUAUUUGCUCUUCUAUUCUCUCAUAGAUUAUGUGGACAUGAUCGUUGGGUGCACCUGAGUAGGUACCGGUACCCCAGGCUAGAGCCGUGAAAGGCCGAGGUUGAGGUAGAGGUAGAGGCAGCGCACACACCACAACUAGGGCCCCUGCUCGAGCGGCAACUUUGAAGCCACUAGUAGCUCCUGUUGAGGAGCAGCUUCAAGAGGAUGAUAAGUCGGAGGUACCAGCUCAUGUUCCUAGGCUUAUUUAUUUCAAUGGUUGUUCAGUAUGCUUUGGUAUGCAUAAUUAGAUUGUUUGAGAGUUUGGCUCAUUUCGGGGCAUUUCCUACUGUACCAGCUAUUUCCCAGGAAGGGGGGCAGAGCACAAACUCCAGCUACUCACACCCUAGAGUAGGUGACCUAUGGUUAUCAAACUCCCGCAGUGUUACCAGCUGGGGGAGUUUAGCCUACUGAGGAUAGACCCUUGUUAUUAACUGAUGAGCGGAAGAGGUUAGAUAAGUUCACAAUGUUGCAUCCUCCUCACUUUAGUGGUACACCUUCAGAUGAUGUUCGGGGGUUCUUGGAUCAUUGUCAUGAGAUUCUGUGCAAUUUGGUACUAGUCAAGUCCAAUGAAGUUGACUUCACCGCCUUCCAUAUGCAGGGUCAAGCCAGGAGGUGGUGGCAAGUUUAUUAGUUGGUCAUACCAGCUGAAUCACCUCCUCUUAUCUGGGCUCAAUUCUCCAUGGUAUUUUGGAGCAUUGUUUCCCCAUAUACCGAGAGAGGAGCUAAGGAGGCAGUUUGAGUACCUUUAUUAAGGUCUGAUGUCCAUUAGUCAGUAUGAAAUAAGGUUCACAUAGCUCUCCCAUCAUGCUAUUGUGUUGAUUCCACUGAGGAGGAGAGAGUGAGGAGAUUCAUUGAUGUUCUUCCCCAUGGUAUUCGCAUUGCUAUGGCUAGAGAGGUAGAGGUCGGGAUAUAAUUUCACCAGGUUAUGGAAAUAGAAUAUUGUAUUGAGCCCAUAUGCAUUAAGACUAGAGAUAUGAUGUAUGGUAGGGACAAGAGGUUCCAAUAUUCAGGUGGUUUAUAUGGUGCUUCAUCCGGAGUCCGAGGUCUAUUUGGGGAGCCCAUUCUAGCAAUCCACCAUAUCAUUCACCGCCACCCAGUCGAGGAACCUUUGUAUAGUAUUCAUUCAGUGCACUUCGCGUGCAGAGUUCUCAUCGCGCCCAUUUGUUCAGGGUUCAUCGGUACUCUAUUCUUCUAGUGGUUAUUCUUGUUCAGGGGAUCUAACUCAAGCCCCACAGUCAUUUCCGGUCAGAGGUUGCUACGAGUGUGAAGAGUUAGGGUAUGUUAGGAAGUAUUGCUUUCAUCAUCCCAGAGGUUCAGCGAAGAAAUGAGGAUACAUUAUGAUUCUUACACUGGUUGCAACACCACCCCCUCGGCCAGCUUGGGGUGGAGGUCAUCCAAGACAUGGUCGUCCUAGAGGGGGAGCUCAAUCUAGUGGAGGUUAGGCAAGAUGCAAUGCCUUUCCAAGGAGGAUGAGGUUGUUGCUUCUGAUGCAGUUAUUAUAGAUAUUAUUUCUGUGUGCCACAAAGAUUCUUCAGUAUUGUCUGAUCCUAGUUCUACUUAUUCAUAUGCAUUAUCAUACUUUAAUUCUUGUAUGGAUAUGCCUCGUGGUUCUCUUGAUGCACCUGUAUAUGUGUCUACAUAUGUUGGUGAUUCUACUAUGGCGGAUCGAGUUUAUCGGUCAUAUGUGGUUGCUAUUUAUGGUUUUGAAAUGAGGGUGGACUUUCUACUAUUAUAUAUGGUGAAUUUUGAUGUGAUCUUGGGUAUGGAUUGGUUAUCUCCGUACCAUAUGUUAUUCUUGAUUAUCAUGCUAAGACCGUGACGUUGGCGACAUUGGGGUUGCGGAGGUUGGAAUGAAAGGGUUCUAUGGGUUGCACUCUUAGUAGAGUGAUCUCAUUUUUUAAGGCCCAAUUGAUGUUAGAGAAGGGAUGUUUGGCAUAUUUAGCCUUAGUCGGAGAUGCUAGUGUUGAUAGUCCUACUGUUUAUUUGGUUCCAGUUGUGGGGGAGUUUCCAGAUGUGUUUGCAGCAGACCUACCAGACAUGCUGUCCAAUAGGGAUAUUGAUUUUAGCAUUGAUUUGGCACCAACCGCGCAACAUAUCUCUGUUCUUCGUAUUAUAUGGCUUCAGCGGAGUUGAAGGAAUUGAAGGAACAGUUGCAAGAGUUGCUGGAUAAGGGGUUCAUUUGGCCUAGUGUUUCACCUUGGGGUCCGCCAUUUUUGUUCGUUAAGAAGAAGGAUGAGUCUCUGAGAAUGUGUAUUAACUAUCGACAGUUAAACAAGGUGACCAUCAAGAACAAGUUUCCACUAACGCGCAUUGAUGAUUAUUUUUAUCAGCUUCAGGUUGUUCUCGAAGAUAGACUUGAGAUCAGAGUAUCAUCAGUUAAAGAUUAGGGCUUCAGACAUCCCUAAGACUACUUUUCAGACUCAUUAUGGGUAUUAUGAGUUUUUGGUGAUGUCAUUUUGUUUAACUAAUGCCCCAGUAGCUAUCAUGCAUUUGAUAAACAGUGUGCUCCAGCCCUAUUUAUAUUCUUUUGUCAUUGUGUUAAUUGAUUAUAUAUUGGCGUAUUCCCUUAUUAGGGAGGAGCACGAGCAGCAUUUGAGGAUUGUGCUUCAGAUGUUGAGAGAGAAGAAGUUUUAUGCUAAGUUCUCCAAGUGCGAGUAUUGGUUGGACUCGAUGGCAUUCUUGGCUCAUGUAAUUCUAGCAAUGGGAUCAAGGUAAACCAGAAGAAGAAUGAGGCCGUUCAGAGUUGGCCCAGACAUUCUACUGCUACAGAGAUCAGGAGCUGCUUGGGUUUGGCUGGUUACUAUCGCAGCUAGUGUACAUGCGCUCAAGAUUUGGAGGUAUUACUUAUAUGGAUUAUCUUGUGAGGUGUAUACGGAUCAUCAGAGUCUUCAACCUCUAUUCAAGCAAAAAGAUAUGAACUUGAGGAAGUGGAGGUGUUUAUAGUUAUUGAAAGACUAUGAUAUCACUAAUCUUUAUCAUAUGGGGAAAGCUAAUGUGGUGGAUGAUGCCUUGAGUAGAAAGGCGGAGAGUAUGGGGAUUUUAGCAUUUAUCCUAGUUGCGGAAAAGCCUUUGGAUAUGGAUGUUCAAACUUUGGCCAAAAGGUUUGUGAGAUUGGAUAUUUCGGAGCCUAGUAGAGUCCUUGCCUCUGUUGUUUCUCCAUAGUCCAUGUUUGAGCGCAUCAAGGCUCGUCAGUAUGACGAUCCCCAUUUGCUUGUCCUUAAAGAUACGGUGCACUGAGGUGGUGCUAAGGAAGUGACUAUUGGUGAUGAUUGUGUAUUACGGCUUUAGGGCCAGAUUUGUGUUCCUAAUGUGGAUGGGUUGAGAGAGUUGAUUCUAGAGGAGGCUCAUACUUCGUGGUAUUCUAUUCAUCCAGGUGCUACGAAGAUGUACCGUGAUUUGAAGCAAAAUUAUUGAUGGAGGAGAAUGAAAAAAGAUAUUGUUGAGUAUGUUGCUCGGUGUUUGAACUGUCAGCAAGUGAAGUACGAGCAUCAGAGACCUGGUGGUUUGCUUUAGAGGCUUGAUAUUCCGGAGUGGAAGUGGGAGCGUAUCACUAUGGAUUUUGUAGUGUUGCAUAGACCUUGAAGAGAUUCGAUGCAGUGUGGGUCAUUGUGGAAACACAGACCAAGUCUUCAUACUUCAUUCAAGUCAUGACUUCCUAUAUUUCGGAGCAGUUGGCUAAGAUCAACAUUAGGGAGAUUGUCCUCUUGCAUGGUGUGCAUGUGACUAUUAUCCCGAAUUGAAGCACUCAGUUUACUUCGCAUAUGAGGGAUUUUCACCGCACUUUGGAGGGUAAGUAAACUCUACUUGAUUUUGAUGUUAGAUCUUGUUUUCUCAUGGAUUAUUACACAAAGACUAUGUGAAUUGAAAGAGAAAUUUGAGGGUUUUGACUAUGAUUUUUUAGAUUAAAAAUUGGGGAUUUGUGGACCAAUUUGAAGUUGGAUUUGGAAUAAACUUGUAUAUUAGGACUCAUGUUGGAAUUGGUGAUCGGGAUUUAUGACUUUUGACGGGUUUCGGGGUGAGGUCUUGAGUUGACCUUUUGGUUGAAUUUGUGUAUUUGAUUAAAGAUCGUGCCUUUAUGCUCUGUUAUUGUUUCCAUUAGAAUUAUUUAACACUGUGAGGUGUUAUUAUUGAUUAGAUUCAAUCCGUUCUGAGGUAGAUUUGUGAGGAAAGGGCUUUUUGGAGUAUUCUUCUCGUGGACUACCAUACUUGCUAUAUGUUAGGGGUAACGCACGUACGUGGUGACAAGAGUAUAUGCAUAAACCGUGAUUAUUCAUGCUUCAGGUAGACUUUAGGCUAUUAUGUGCCUUGUUUUGCUAAUUCCUUCGUGUUGCCGUGUUUUCUCUACUUGUAUGACUACUUGAGCUAGUGAAGGAUGUUAUGUCAGGCACCCGUACAAUGUUGAGGUUGUGCUUACUUGAUGAUUUAACUGUGAAUUCGUUGAUGUUGGCAUCGAUAAUUGUCAUGCAGGCAUAGGACGUAUCUUCCCCAUACUAAUUGAUACUUUAUAUGUUGAAGUUGAUGUCGUAAUUGAUUUGUUUGGAAAGCAUACUUAUUUUUCUGUUAAUGUGAUCAAGUUGACCUUGUUAUUUUUGAGUUGUUUUUAUUGUUGCUAUUUUCAUUAUGUUGUUACUAUUAUUGUUGGCUGAUUGAAAAUGAGUAGCAGACUUUGCCAAUCUCGUCACUAUCUUCAAUCUGAUGUAAUGUCAUACUUUGUUCAUGGGCCACACUACAAGACAAUGUGCGAUGCAAAAUAUAAAACUGAAUAAAGACUAACGCUGACUAAAUGUCAACAUAAAGCUGGGCCGGCAAGGCCGUCAUAAUUACUACAACUGACAAGCCAACAAAAUAUAUGUACAGGGCAUACAAGCCCAACAUACUGCACUACUGACAGGAUAUGUCUACAAGCCUCAACUGAUGGAUGUACUGUGAUCAGAACAGGACCCCGACCAACCCAUAACCUAUCUACAUAUAUACACAACAUGUACACAAAACUUCUAGACCCGGCAACUCCGACGGAUGGCGAGCUAACCGAUAAAGCUGAACUCGGGCAACACCUACUGAGGAGGUCUACCCGUCUGUCUGCCUAAACCUGCACGCAUGAAAUGCAGCGCCCCCAGAAAGGGACGUCAGUACGAAAUAAUGUACCGAGUAUGUAAGGUAAUAUAUUGAAAGUUGAAACUGAACUGAUAAUAUAAUAACUGAAAGCAACUGGGGGUCAAAGAUAAUCUGAAGGUAUACUCACCUGCUGAUACUGACUCUAUUCUCUCAUUUUAGCAAGUAAAAUAGUUGUCCGGCCUUAUAAGGCUCGGUGUGUAUACAUAUAUAUAUAUAUAUAUAAAACUGCUCUAUCGUAGUAGGCUCGCUCAUAGGCGCUGGGCCAUACUAGGCUCUGUAUCUCAACCAACUGGGCUCGCUCAUAGGCGCUCGGCCAUACUAGGCUCUGUAUCUCGACCAACUGGGCUCGCUCAUAGGCGCUCGGCCACAGUAGGCUCGGUAUAUAACUUACCAUCUGAUCAGAGGUUGCCCAAUAGGGGCCUGCCCAUCGAUUAUAGCUCGAUAGUAAUGAAAUUACUGUAAUACUGUAUAUAUAGACUCUGUGCUCUCUUGACUGGAAAAAGGAAAUACUCAAAUGAAUAUGAAGUCCCGAUAAAGAGAAUAUUGUAACUUACAAAACUAGAAAAAUAUACGUAAAUUCUGGGAUAUGAAUUUUUCUUUAAGCUGGUGCCUUGUAUGGUACUAGUCCAUAAGUAUCGAGUAUUAUAACUCGGAUCGUAUUUUAUCCCAAAUCAACAACCUUCAACGAAACUCAUUUUCUUUAAUUCGUGUACCCUUUCCUUUAUGGCACUUACUUAUUGCUUGUUAUAAAUAGCAUAAAUAUGCUAACGUCAAGAUAAUCUCAUUCCCGAGUCUAUGUUAAUUAACUAAAGACGAAACUUUAACGUACGAUAAAUGCAAGAUAUAACACAACGUCACUGUCUUAGCAUGACAAUCCAAAAUAGAGUGACAUGGUGACAACCAAUCCAUGCCUAAAAUCAUGUCAAAAUCAACCAUGCUAGGCACAAAAAGAUCAACUCUCGUCUCUAAUCCCCCAAUAGUCACUAUGCACGAAUGGUACCCACAGUGCACAAUAAUAGAAUCACCCAUCGGUGUAGAUACAUGAACAUGCAUAAUUAAAGAAUCACGAGGCAUAUCCAAAUAAUGAGCAAAGUAUGAUGACACGUAUGAACAAGUGUAACCAUGAUCAAAUAAUACUGAAGCAUCCCUGUGACAUACUGAAACAAUACCUGUGAUCACUUUAUCAGAGGCAACUACCUCUGGCCUGGCUAGAAAUGUGUAGCAAUGGGCCUGACCACCACCUGAUCGACCUCCCCCUUUAGGGUGGCCUCGAACUGACUCAGCCCCACCCCAAGUUGGUUGUGCAAGUGGUGUAGCUGCUGGUGCUGGAAUCAUAGGCUGAGAACUUUGUUUUGGAUUCCUACCUAAUAGUCUGGGGCCAUCCCUUUUGAGAUGACUCAAGUCCCCGCACUCGAAAAAACCUCUCCUCUAACGGAGCUGUUACCCCUAAUAGUCUCUAUAGCUGCCCGAAGAACCCUGUGCAUAUGAAGCAUGAUAAGAACUCUAUGCUUGUAAUGCACUAAAUGAUGACUGAGUUGGGCACGCACUAUAGGAUUUAUGGCUAAUUGAAGAACCACGAGGAAUAUAGCGAUCUGCCUGAAUGGGUCUAGAAGAAUGACCUUUGCUGAUAAAGGGGCUGACCUCCAGAUGAGGCACUACUGAAACCACCUAAAGUAAGGCAUGUUAGCCUCCCUCUCCUCACGCUUCUACCUAUGAAUCAUCUCUAAGUGUUGAGCAAUAUCGACCACCUCAUCAAACCUCGCACCCGUCGCAACUUCACGAUCCAUAAAGAAGCGUAAUCCAUAGUUGAGGCCGUCAAUGAACCUCCAAAUCUUCUCCCUCUCAAUGGAAGCCAACCAUACUGUGUGACUCUGAAAACCUCAUCUCAUAUUGAGUCACUGUAAUACCCUCCUGGCAUAGCUGCACAAAUUGCCUAAGCAACCUUUCUCUGUGAGUAUGUGGGACAAACUUCUCUAAGAAGAGAACUGAGAACUCAUGCCAUGUAAGUGGCACUGGAUCGGCUGGCCUGCCCAAAUCAUAAGCCUUCCACUAUCGGUAGGCUGCCCCGAUCAGUUGAGAUGUAGUGAAUGAUACCCAACUGGUGUCCAAAAUACCUGUGAUGCAAAAUAUCUGCUAACACCGGUCAAUAAAAUCUUGAGGAUCCUCCGACUCUGCCACACUGAACUCUGGAGGCUUAAGACUCCCAAACCGCUCCAGUCUCUUCUGCUCCUCAUCACUCAUAUAUGGGCCAAUCUGGGCCUAAGCAGCAGGAACUGGCUGGGCUGGUAGUACCCCCGGUGUCUGGAGUCCUUGAGCUACCUACUCUAGAGUACGUGCGGCAGGAGUCUGAGUACGUCCUCCACCCUGUGAAAUGUCUCUGUGCAGCUUGAACUGAGACUGCCUGAGCCAAACUCGUGCACACAGCCAUAAUCAGGGCUAAUACCUCUUGAAGGUUAGGAAUCACAACGGGCACUACUGGUGCUUGAGCUAGUCACACCGACUCAACCACAUCUGUACCUGCUCCUGAGCUGGAGCAACUGGUGGUCCCACGGGUGUUGCUCUGGUUGUUGUACGAGCCACACUUUAGCCCCAACCUCUCGCGGCCCUAACUGGUGCUACUGGUGAUCAUCCGCAGAUCUAGUUGCAUGUGUCCUCACCAUCUGUGAGAGAAUAGAAGAGUCAAGUUCAAAUUUCGGAAAUAACAAAUCUGCAGGACAAGAAUACAAGAAAGUGAAGUUUCCUAACAGUUCAGUAGCCUCUCGAAGAUAAGUACAUAUGUUUCUGUACUGAUCCGCAAGACUCUACUAAACUUCCUCAUGACUCGUAAUACAUAUGAAACUAGGGCUCUGAUACCAACUUAUCACGACCCAAAAUCCAAAUGCGUCAGGAUGGCGCCUAAGACACCGGCUAGGCAAGCCGAACAUAACAAUAAAGGAAACAUUACAACCAAACUUAUGGAAAUAGCAUAAGUCAGAAAUCUCAAUACAACCAAAUACUACAAAUACAAGGUAAAUUUCCCAAGAACUGAUAAAUAUGGAGUCAUGAGCUCUACAACGGAAUACAAGUCUGAAAUUGAAAAAUAAUAACAUUGUCUGAACUGUAACAACACUAUGUAAGGAAAAUACAAGUUAAAAGUUCGACCAAGGAUGUAGCUCUACCUCGCCUCUCGAAGAUAGUCCAAUAAGCAAGCCUACUGUCGAUAAUUGAUCAACACACCCGGAUCUACACAAUUAAGUACAAAGUGUAGUAUUGGUACAUCCGACCCAAUGUACUUAAUAAGUACCUAACAUCAGCGAGGUAAAAGAAACAAGAAUUAUAAAUGUUACCUGCAAUAAGCUGUAUAGUUUCAUAAAAUCCAACAAGUACAGAACAAUAAUGUGAACAUGUAUAAGAUACUGAAAGAAGUAUCUCUAUGUGUGUGUCCAAUAACUCAAAAUCUCUAUUCGGUCACGGGUACGGCAUAUAAGAUGAUAUGCAGAUAAUAAGAUAAUAAACCAUGGAAGGUGCAAGUAAAGAUGAAAUGCAAUUCCAAAAUAACACUGGCCAGACUUUCCUCAACCUUUACAUAUACGCACCAAAUGACUAAUCAGUUUUCCUCAAUAAUAGCAUGUACACCAUCAAGAGAGAAAUAUGAGAGUGUGACCUUAGGGGGAUGGAUCUGUAUCCACACGCUGCACGGACAAACCACAUGCUGCACGAACAACUCACGUGCUAAUAAUAUCAAUAUCUGGAUCCGCACGGAUAACUCACGUGCUACAUGGAUAGCUCACAUGCCAAUAAUAUCAACAACAUAGACUACUCACGUGCUAACAAUCACAAUCCGGCCGGCAUGGUCACAUGCUACCAGUCCAGCUCAAAACACAGAGAAAGCAAAUAUGCGGAAUACAUGUACAUGAUCAAUGAUUAUCAAGUUCAUAUUCCUGGACUGGCAUAAAUAACAUGCUAUAUUGUAGGCAUGUGCAAUGUGUGCUACCACAGCUAGAGCAGACAAUUUCCAUCAAGAAAUAGCAAUUAUCAGGUACAACGAGAAGAAUAACCUCAACGAAAUCUCAAAUAUGGUACAAAUAGCUCACAUAGGGGCAACAAUAUGAGAAACAUAUCAACUUGAAGCUUAUCAAUCAUUUCAAGGCAUAUCAUGGCCUAAGCACUACCCCGAGCAUGGAAAUAGUACCCCCGAUGCACGCACAUGGGCUCAACCACGCACAUGUGCACAACCCAUAGCACGUAGCUGUCACAAAUAACUCAAGCAGCUUAUGCCUCAACUAAGUUUAGAUAAGAUAUUUACCUCAAACAAGCUAAUUCACUCCUCUAACAAGAUCUUCCCGCGCGUAUCAACCUCUGGACGAUCCGAAUCUAAGCAAAUCAACUCAUUAUAAUCAAUAAUAGCCAUAGGAAUUGAUUCCAAAUGAUAAAUCUAAGAUCUUUAACCAAAAUCAGAAAGCCAACCCAUAACGUCAACCCCGGGCCCGCACCUCGAAACCCAACAAAAUUCACAAAUUCUGAAUACCCAUUCAAUUACAAGUCCAACCAUACCAAAAAUCAUCCAAUUUUGACCUCAAAUUGACCUUCAAACCUCCAUUUUUCAUUUUUGAAAAGUUUCCACAAAAUCCCCUAUUUCUUCACUUUAAUUCACUAAUUAAUCUAAAACAAAGAUGGAAUCAUGAUAUAAUAACAUAUCCGAGUAAAAAAUACUUACCCUGAUCCAAGACAUGAAAAUCCCCUCCAAAAUUGCCCAAAACUGAGCUCUACAACUCAAAAUAUGAAAUAAUACUCUAACCCACAAUUUGGGAUUUUAAAACCUGAUGCCCAGUCAUUACACAUCGCGAUCGCGAAAAGUCCCUUGCGAUAGCGAAGAACAAAAAUCUCCAGUGGAAAAAACCUUCUAUGCGAAUGCGAUAGACCAGUUGCAAAUGUGAUAACCAGUCACCAAUACCUACGCGAUCACGAACAGCCACACGCAAUCGCAAUGAGCAACACGUGAAAAUUCCCAGGCCUCCUCUUCCUUCUUCGCGAACACGUCCUCUCACUCGCGUUCGUGUUGCAAAACACACAGAACUUUGUGAUCAAGUACUUCACCUCGCGAACACAUUGAACAAAAACUCGCGUGCCAAAAUUAACCCCUUGCGAUUGUGAAACAGGAAACCAUAUACCAGAAAAUCAGUAACUCCUCCAUGUCGUUGCAACAUAGAAUGUACGAUGAGAAUCACAUUGAGGUUUCACACCUCAUAUUAAUAUUUCACAAAUCACAAUCCCAAUCUUACUUAUAUCUCCGCGUGACCUUGUAUUUUAUUUUUAAAAACAUUUUUCCUGAAAGAGCUACACGUGCUUUAGCCCCCUUUAUGUCUACGCAUGGCUUCAAGUAAUUCCCUUACUAGCAAAUCGCACAUAAAUCCCACCUUAUGUUGCCGCAUGAACAUCAACCCCUAUCCUUAUACCGCCGCAUGUGCAUAUAUUUCACAACACAAUAAUCAACUCGCACCUCAGAUGCCCAUAUGCCAUAAUAUUUUUGAGAUCAACAAUACGAAUGUUACCACAACAAAUAGCCAACGGCUCAACCACAAUAUGUAUAAGAAUUUCGAUAACAACAAAAUAAGUGAAAAACAACUCAACAAGGGGAAAUAUAUCUCAAUAAUAAACCACUUCAACCUCAACAUGUGAAUCGCUUUCACAACCACAACUUCAAAAACUCACAAUGAAGGUAUUCCUAUGAAAUGGAAACAUCCAAUUCAAGUGUACAACAUAAACUUAACAAUGAAAGAGAUAGAAUGUACUUAUAACAUCAAACAAGGCAUGUAAGAGUAAACUAAACAUUGGAAAAUAUAACAUGAUACGACUAUUCCAAUUAAAUGCAUGAAAGAAGCCUAAAAGUCUAAACCGGUCAAAAUACCACAUAUGAGCCCUUGUACAAACUCGUCACCUCGUGCACACGUCUCCCACAUAAUUCAAUUAAUACAACAACCCAAAUUCUAAGUGGUAGUUUCCCCCCACACAAAGUUAGGCAAAAUACUUUCCUCAAUUAGGCAAAAUCAACACCCAAGAAUAGCUUUUCCUUCAAAAUUCAUCUCUACUCAGCUCAAAUCUAGCCAAAAAAGACUUAAUAUUAUCAAACAAUGCAAGGGGGACCAAUUCCAAUAAUUAAAGCUAUGAUCUUCAUAAAAUUCUCCAAAAGUCAACAAAAGUCAGCCGCGGAUUUGCCCGAUCAAAACCCUAGUCCAAGGGUAAGUCUCGACUACCCAUAGCCUCACGAGUUCAUAUAUGUGUUUUGUUUUCCAAUCAGAGUCCAAUUCGACUCUUAAAUCUCAAAUUUUAUUAUUCAAAACAUAGACAAAAAUCCAUAAAUAUUUCCUGCAAAUCCCAUGAUUUGAUGUUAAAAUCUCGUAAAGAAUCAUGUAAUAUAAUUGAAAAUUGAUCAAAAACACUUACCCAAUUGUUUGGUAUGAACAUCUCUCCUCAAAAUCGCCUCCCACCGAAUCUAGGAUUCAAAAUAUGAUAAAAUGAAGCUAAGUCCCGAAGUACAGCUAUAAACAAGCUACAGUUGUCGCAUUUGCGACAUGGGGUUCACAAAUGCGACAAUCGCAAAAGCGAUCUAAUUUCUGCAAAAGCGACCCCUGAGAAUCACUACUAACGUCGCAUUUGCAACAUAUAACUUCGUAAAUGCGAAGUGUCACGACCCAAAAUUCCAACUUAUCGUGACGGCGCCUAACACAUUUACUAGGCAAGCCCACAAUCACAUAACAACUGAGCAUUUGAAUUAAAGCAUGAUUUAAUAAGCUCAACAACGGAAAAUCUCAUAAAUAUCUGAUGAAAACAACUGUAACUCUACUACAACCAUCCCAAAACCUGGUGUCAAUGAGUACAUGAGCACUGCAAUAUCUCAACAUAAAACAAACUCUAGUAUAAUUGUCUGAAUAGUAGAACAUUACUGAAGAAAAUAAAAGGAUGGAGAAUUAAGGUCUGCGGGCGUCAUAUCGGCUACCUCAAAGUCUCUAAUCAGGUACUAGCACCACUCUAGCAAUCACCGCGUCCAGAUAAACCUGGAUCUACACACGAAGUGUAGAGUAUAGUAUGAGUACAACAAACCAAAUGUAAUCAGUAAGUAACAAAACUAACCUUGGGCUAAAAGUAGUGAGGAAUGGUACAUCUCUAUGCCUACAUGUCAAAUACGCAUGUCAAAAGUACGCUAUCACAGUGAUAUUUCCAAGUACUCAUACUCUCAGAGUGCUCAAUCUGUCUAUCUCACAUUCCCACUCAACACACACAAUCACUCAGCACUUUACGGGUGCCUGACAUUAAUGCCCCUCACCAAAGCACGUGUAUAUAAAUCAUCGUGCCUGCACUCACUACUUGUAUUACAGACUCUGGAUCAGCGGAUCUUGCCCAAGUGCUAAUAUAAAUCAUAUAAGGUCUGCUGCGGCGUGCAACCCGAUCCGUAAUAAUAGAUAAGCCCAUAGGGCCUGCUGCGGCAUGCAACCUGAUCCACAAUAACACUCACAAUCCGGCUCUUAGGACCACCUCAGUCAUCAAUCUCUCAAGUAUCAAGGGCUCAUAAUCUCGUACCACUAUGCCCAAACAAUAACAACAUAUAAAGUAACAAUGAAUGAUAACAAAGAUAACAAAUCCCCCAAAUUUCACCUCAAACACAAAUAAUCUUUGUGUAAAAAUCAACGGGUAUUCAAUAUUAAUGGACAAAAGUAAUCAAAAGUUUCUUACCUCUUAAAUUAUAGUGAAAUCCCUCACAAACAUCGCCCCUAGCCGAGCUCCACAAGUCCAAAAAUGAAGAAAAAGGCUCAAACGCUCGAUUAUAUCAGUCUGCCCAGCGAUUCUCGCUUCUACGGGCCAGACACCACAUCUAUAGUUCCGCUUCUGUGGAAGAAAACAAGCUUAUGCGAAAUUUCAUUAAACUCCCAACCAACCGCUUCUACGGCCAAAUCCAACUUAUGUGGGUCCGCUUUUGUGGUCCAUGGUCCGCUCCUGCGGGACUACACCUGCGGAGUUUUCUCUGUUUCUGUGACAACAGCCUCACAGUCAAAAAAUCCGCUUCUGCGACCAGCUACCCGCACCCGUGAGCUCGCAGGUGCGGAAACAACCUCGCACCUGUGACCACUACCCAGCCUAUCCAAAACUAGCAUUUGAGCGUUUUUGCCCACUUCUAUGGCUCCGCGCCUGCAGCCUAUUCCUCGCAGGAGUGGUCACACUAGAAUUGAAGCUAACAGAAAAUUCUUAAGUCCAAAACUCAAUCUGAUUUCAAUCCAAAUCACACCCGAGGCCCCCAGGAACCUAUCCAAACAUACCAACACAUCCUAAAACAUGAUACAAACUUAUUCAAAGACUCAAAUCACAUCAACCAACAUAUAAAACAUGAAUCGCACCCCAAUUCAAGCCUAACGAAACUAAUGGAUUUUCAACUUCUAAAAUCAAUGUCGAAACCUAUCCAACCAACUUCGAUUGACCUCAUAUUUUGCACACAAGUCAUAAAUGACACAACAGACCUAAUCUAACUUCCGGAACAAAACUCCGAGCCCGGUAUCAACAAAGUCAACUCUCGGUCAAACUUCUCAACCUUCAACUUUCCAACUUUUGCCAAUUCGAGCCAAAACGACCUACGGACCUCCAAUUCAAUAUCGAGACAUAAUCCUAAGUCCAUAAUCACCGUACGAAGCUAUCGAGAACAUCAAAGAUUCAUUCCGGAGUCAUUUAUACAUAAGUCAACAUCCGGUCAACUCUUUCAACUUAAGCUUCCAACCUUGGGGCAAAGUGUCCCAAUUAAUUCUGCAACAUCUCGGGAACCAAGCCAACCACCCCGGCAAGUGACAUAACCACAAAAGAACAUAGAAUAAGUAAUAAAUUGUGGAACGGGGCUAAAAUUCUCAAAAUGACCGGCCAGGUCAUUACAUUCUCCCUUUUUUAAACAAACGUUCGUCCUCGAACGGGCCUAGAAUCAUACAUGGAGUCUCAAAUAGGUGUGGAUAGUUGCUCCGCAUCUCCUUCUCGGUCUCCCAAGUAGCCUCCUUGACUGGCUGGCCUCUCCACUGAACUUUCACUGGAGCUAUAUUCUUUGAUCUCAACUUUCAAACCUGCCAAUCCAAUAUGGCCACCGACUUCACAUCAUAAGUCAAAUCUCCAUCUAACUGAACCGUGAUGAAGUCCAAAACAUGAGACAGAUCACUGUAACACUUCCGGAGCAUGGAAACAUGAAACACUGGGUGAACACCCGAUAGACUAGGUGGCAAUGCAAGCUUGUAGGCUACCUCCCCAAUCCUCUCAGGCACCUUAAGAGGCCAAUAUACUGAGGUCUCAACUUGCCCUUCUUCCCGAACCUCAUCACACCCUUCAUGGGCCAUACUCUGACCAAUACUUUCUCUCCCGCUAUCUAUGUAACAUCACGAACCUUCCAAAUGACAUAACUCUUCUGUCUAGACUAUGCCAUAAGAAGCCCAUCCUGAAUCAACUUGAUCGUUUCCAAGGCAUCUUUAGCUAGAUCCGUGCCCAACAACCUAUCCUCCCCGGCUCAAACCACCCAAGUGGAUACCGACAUUGCCUCCCAUAUAAGGCUUCAUAAGGAUCCAUCUGAAUACUCGAUUGGUAGCUGUUGUUGUAGGAAAACUCAGAAAGCGGUAGAAACUGAUCCCAAAAACCCCUGAAAUCUAUAACACAAGCGCGUAACAUAUCCUCCAAAAUCUGAAUGGUGCGCUCGGACUAUCCAUCAGUCUGGGGGUAGAAUGUUGUGCUCAAAUCAACCUGUGUGCCCAACUCUCGCUGAACUACUCUCCAAAACUACGAUGUGAACUGCGUGCCUCGAUUAGAAAAAAUAGACACCGGCACAACAUGAAGGCGAAUAAUCUCGCGGAUAUAGAUUUCAGCUAACCACUCCGAAGAAUAGGUAGUCACAAUCGAAAAGAAAUGUGUGGACUUAGUCAGCCGGUCCACAAUCACCCAAAAUAACAUCAAAUUUCUUCAAUGUCCACGGGAGCCCAAUAAUGAAGUCCAUGGUAACACACUCCCAUUUCCACUAAGGAAUCUCAAGCCUCUGAGGCAAACCGCCCGGCCUCUAAUGCUCAUACUUCACUUGCUGACAGUUCAAACACCUAGCCAUAUACUCCACUAUAUCGUUAUUCAUUCUUCUCCACCAAUAGUGCUGCCUCAAGUCCUGAUUCAUCUUUGCAGCACCUGGAUGAAUGAAAUACCGCAACUUGUGGGCCUCCACAAGAAUUAACUCACAUAACCCAUCCAUAUUGGGCACACAAAUCCGACCGUGCAUCUGCAACACCGCAUCAUCCCCAAUAGAAAGCUCCUUGGCAUCACCACACUGUAUCGUGUCGUUAAGGAAAAGAAAAUGGGGUUCGUCAUACUGACGCUCUCUAAUGCACUCAUACAAAAAAAGACCGAGAAACCACACAAGCUAGUAUCCGACUAUUCUCUGAAACCUUUAACCUCACGAACUGAUUGGCCAAGGCCUAAACAUCUUAUGCUAGUGGUCUCUCACCAACUGGAAUAUAUGCAAGGCUACCCAAACUCACAGCCUUCCUACUCAAGGCAUCGGCCACCACAUUGGACUUCCCGGGAUGAUACAAAAUGGUGAUAGCAUAUUCUUUUAACAACUUUAACCAACUCCGCUGCCUCAUAUUUAGAUCCUUUUACUUAAACAAGUGUUAUAGACUUCGAUGAUCUGUAAAUACCUCACAAGACACACUAUAGAGAUAAUGCCUCCAAAUCUUCAAGGCAUGAACAAUGGCUGCCAACUCUAAAUUAUUAACGGGGUAGUUCUUCUCAUAGGGCUUCAACUGGAGUGAAGCAUAAACAAUCACCCUACCCUCCCAUAUCAAGACACACCCAAUACCAAUUCGAGAUGCAUCAAAACACAAUAUACAUGAACCCGAUGUUGAGGGUAAAACUAGAACUGGAGUUAUGGUCAAGGCAGUCUUGCGCUUCUAAAAAUUCUCCUUACACUCAUCCGACCACCUGAAUAGAGCACCCUUCUGGGUCAAUCUUGUCAAAGGUGUAGCAAUGGACAAAAAGCCCUCCACGAAACGACGAUAAUAUCCGGCCAAGCCAAGAAAACUCCAAAUCUCAGUAGCUGAAGAUGGUAUGGGCCAAUUCUGAACUGCCUCAAUCUUCUUCAAAUCUACCUUGAUCCCCUAACUGGACACCACGUUCCCAAAGAAUGCCACAGAAUCAAUCCAAAACUCACACUUGGAGAAUCUAGCAUAAAUCGUCUUCUCCCUAAACAUUUGUAUCAUAAUCCUCAAAUGUUGUGCAUGCUCCUCCUAGCUGCGUGAGUACACCAGUAUAUCAUCAAUGAAUACUAUGAAAAGAGAAUCAAGAUAUGGUUGUAAUACACUAUUUAUCAUAUGCAUAAAUAUUGUUGGGGAAUUGGUCAACCCAAAAUACAUUACAAGGAAUUCGUAGUGACCAUAACGGGUCCUGAAUGAUGUCGUCAUGAUAUUAGAAUCCCAAAUCAUCAACUGGUGGUAACCAUACCUCAAAUCAAUCUUAGAGAACACUCUAGCACCCUGAAGCUGUCAAAUAAGACAUCAGUGCGAGGUAGCAGAUACUUAAUCUUAAUUGUAACUUUGUUCAACUGCCUAUAAUCAAUGCACAUCCGCAUAGAACCAUCUUUAUUCUUCACAAACAGAACGGGUGCACCCCAAGGUGGCACACUACGCCUAAUGAAUACCUUAUCAAGAGGCUCCUAAAGUUGUUCUUUCAAUUCCUUCAACUCUGUUGGUGCCUACGAUACGGAGUACGGGAUGAACUUUGAACUGAUGGAGCACGGGAUAAAAUCUGAGCUGGGAGGGCACUGAAAGAUGACUUACCUAGAUGAACACUAUAUGAACUAUGGCUAGCUGAUACACCACGAUGAAUCGGAUGAGACAUUUGAGGCGGGCCUAUCAGGAUGACCCCUGCAGUGAUGAGACUGCCCUCCAGAUGAGGCACUGUUGAAACCACCUAAACUACGAUGCCUCUUGGCCUACCUCUCCUCAUGCUCUUGACUGCGAACCAACUCUAGGCGUCGAAUAAUAUCAACCACCUCGUCAAACCUCGCACCCGUCGCAAUAUCCGGAGUCAUAAUGAAACAUAGUCCAUAGUUGUGUCCAUCUAUGAACCUCCUAAUCCUCUCCCUCUUAGUGGGAACCAAGCAUACCGCGUAACGAGCCAACUCUAAAAAUACCAUCUCAUACUGAGUCACUGACAUACCAUCCUGGAGUAGCUGCUCAAAGUGCAUACGCAAUUCCUCUCUACGAGUCUGUGGAACAAACUUCUCUAAGAAGAGAACUGAGAACUCAUGCCAAUGCCACGUAAGUAGUGUAGCGCCGACUAGCCUGCUUAAGUCAUAGUCCUCCCACCAUUUGUAGGAUACCCCUGUCAACAAAAAAGUAGUAAAUGAAACUCCACUGGUCUUCAAGUUACCCGUUGUUCGAAGGAUCCGCUUGCGCCUGUCUAUAAAAUCGUGAGCAUCCUCUGACGCGGCCUCACUGAACACUGGAGGCUUAAGCAUCCCAAAUCGCUCGAGUCUCUUCUACUCCUCAUCACUCAUAGGUGGGCCAACUUGGGCCCGAGUAGCUAUAACCGAUUGGGUAGGUAGUACCCCUCAUCUCUGAAGUCCAUAAGCUACCUGCUCUGGAGUACGAGCGGCGGGAGUCUGAGCACCUCCCCCAGCUUGUGAAGUAGUUGGUGCAGCUAGAACUGGAACUGCCUAAGCCAGGCUCGUUCACACCAUCAAUAUAUGGGCCACAACCUCAUAUAGGCUUGGGAUCACAAUGGGCACAGCUGGUACCUGAGUUUUUCCCACCGGCUCAACAACAUCUGGUAUCUGCUCCUCAGCUGGAGAAACUACUGGCUCCGCAGGUGCUGCUCUACCUGUAGUACAAGCCGCAUCUCGGCCUCUAUCGCGGAUCUGGCCUCUCGUGACCCUAGCUGGCGGUAUUGAUGGUCGUCCACCUGAUCCGAUCGCACAUGUCCUCACCAUAGGUGUUUCUGGAACCAACAAAUCCACAUGACAAGAGUACAAGAAAGUGAAGUUUCCUAAUGGUUCGGUAGCAUCUCGAAGCGAAGUACAGACAUCUCGUACCAAUCCACAAGACUCUACUAAACCUAUUCAUGACUCAUGAGACCUACGUAACCUAGUGCUCUGAUACCAACUUGUCACGACCAAAUAUCCUAACCCGUCGUGACGACGCCUAACACAAUUACUAGGCAAGCCGCCAAUCACAAAACAACUAAGCAUUUGAAUUAAAACAUAAUUUAAUAAGCUCAACAUUGGAAAAUCUCAUAAAUAUCUGAUGAAAACAACUGUAACUCUACUACAACAAUCUAAAAACUUGGUAUCAAUGAGUACAUGAGCACUACAACAUCUCAACAUAAAACAAACUCUAGUACAACUGUCUGAAUAGUAAAACUGUACUAAAGAAAAUAAAAGGAGGGAGAAUCAAGGUCUGCGGGCCCAUAGAAGCUACCUCAAAGUCUCCAAUCAGGUACUACCACAACUCUAGCAAUCACCACGUCUAGAUAUACCUGGAUCAGCACACGAAGUGCAGAGUAUAGUAUGAGUAUAACCGAUCCUGUGUACUCAAUAAGUAACAUAAAUAACCUUGGGAUGAAAGCAGUGACGAGCUUAGAAGGAUACAUUCGGAACUAAUAUAUUGACAACACAUAUAUAGUAAUGAAAAUGACAGUAAUAACUCAGAGAAACCUUCAUAUUCUGCUCAUUCAUGGUAUAGAAAAUUUAGACAUGCUUUCAAGUUCACAAUUAAAGGCCAAUAAGGAUAAGAAAAUGCCAAGUAUAGGUAGCAAGAGGAAUGGCACAUCUCUAUGCAUACAUGUCAAAUAUACAUGUCAAAAAUAUGGUAUCACAUUGAUAUUUCCAAGUACCCACACUCUUAGAGUGCUCAAUCUGUCUAUCUCAUAUUCCCACUCAACACACAUAAUCACUCAGCAUUGUACGGGUGCCUGGCAUCAAUACCCCUCACCAAAGCACGUGUAUAUAAAUCACCAUUCCUGUGCUCACUGCGGGUAUGCCAGACUCCGGAGGGGCGGAUCCUGCCCAAGCGCUAAUAUAAAGCCUAUAAGGCCUGCUGCGGCAUGCAGCCCAAUCCACAAUAAUAGAUAAGCCUAUAGGGCAUGUUGUAGCGUGAAACCCGAUCCUCAAUAACACUCAAAAUCUGACUUUCAGUCCCAUCUCAGUCAUCAAUCUCUCAAUUCUCAAGGGCUCACAAUCUCAUACCAAUCAUCCCAAACAUUAUCAUAUAACUCGUUUUCUAGGAAUGUAUACUCUUAGUACGAAGUUUAGAAGUGUUACUCACCUCAAAUUGCACAACUCAAUACUCCAACCAACCCUUGCCUUGCAAAUCGGCCUCCGAAGGACUCGAAUCUACUCACAAACAACUUAAUAUAAUUAAUACAAGCUAUAAGAAUCAAUUUCAUACGUUAAAGUUACGAUCCUUAACCAAAUUCAAAAAGUCAACCCAAAAAGUCAACCAUGGGCCCACGCCACAAAAUUCAAAAAUUCUGCACACCUAUUCAAUAAAGAGUCCAACCAUACUAAAAUCAUCCAAUUCCGACCCAAAAUCAAAUCUCAAUUCCCCAAAUCUUACUCUCCAAUACAUAGAUCACAAAUCCCCCAAACUAUACCUCAAACACACAUAAUCUAGGUGUAACAAUCAAUGGCUAUUCAAUAUUAAUGGACAAAAGUGAUCAUAAGUUGCUUACCUCUUGAAUUAUAGUGAAAUCCCUAAAAAAACAUCGCCCUAGCUGAGCUCCAUGAGUCCAAAAAUGAAGAAAAAGGCUCAAACCCUCUAUUAUAUAAGUCUGCCCACCAAUUCUCAUUUCUACGAGCCAAACACCGCAUCUUCGGUUCCGCUUCUGCAAAAUUUCAUUAAACUCUCGACCACCUUCUUCUGCGGCCAAAUACCGCUUCUGCGGUCCAUGGUCCGCUCCUGCGGGACCGCAUCUGCAGAGUUUUCUCUACUCCUAUGACAAUGGCCUCCCAGUCUAAAAAUCUACUUCUGCGACCAGCUACCCGCACCUACGAGCUCACAGGUGUGGAAUCAACCUCGCACCUGUGAACAAUGCCCAGCCUAGCCAAAACCCGCAUCUGCGCCUUCCUGGCUUCUUCUAUAGCUCCGCACCUGUGGCCUAUUCCUCACAUGUGUGAUCACACCAGAACUGAAGCUAACAUAAAAUUCUUAUGUCCAAAACUCAAUCUGAUUUCUAUCCGAAUUGUCACGCCCUAACCUCGGGGAGCGCGACCGGCGCUCAACCGAGAUACCCCGGUUAAGCAAGCCUGCUAGAUGCCUUCUACCCAGCCUUGCCCAUUAACAAUAUAAGAAUCAGUACAAAUGAUAGAUAUGAGAAAAGUCAAAUGUUCCACAUUCUUUUUCCGUUACUCAAAGGAUAUUCAUUUAUGAUUUCCAAAAAUUACAAGUUUAUAGAUAUGAUGAAAAACAUGUUUGUCAAAUACCAACACUUCUAGUUUAAUUCCCAAUAUCAAAUACCACCCACAACCUGUCUACGGAGACUCUAAUUAUAACAAAAGAGUAAUAUGGAAGUGCCGGUGACAAGGCCCCGGCUAUACCUCAAAACACAAAGUACAACAUCCAGUGAAAUCAGGCCCGGAACAAAGUAGGGCUCACCAAAACAUGCUGAAUAGAGAGUAACUACUAAUGAGAACCAAAGCUGCCCGCUGACAAACCACUUGAAUCCAUUGAAGAUGCAGUGCCCCCGACAAAAGGGACAUUAGUACAUAUGGAAUAGUACUAGUAUGAAAACCAAACACCCCCUUCAAGAAUUGGAAGUACAACAUGAAUGUGACAAAUCAUGGAAGAAAUAAAAGAGCUUAAAUAGCCAUUAAAACCAUAGCAAAUUCAUUAAAAUCUUUCAAUAACAUUUAUAAAUUUCAAGUUGGGGAUCCUCUGUAGCAACCUCUACACAAAGCGGCCCCACCGCCUCGCCCCAAUGUGUGCAGGUGGAGGUGUAAUCACAAUGCCAUAAUCUCUCUACAAAGCGUCCCUUCCGCCUCACCUCAAUGUGUGCGGGUGGAGGUGUAAUCAUAAUGUCGUCAUCUCUACACAAAGCGGCCCUGCCGCCUCACCCCAAUGUGUGCAGGUGGAGGUGUAAUCACAAUGCCACAAUCUCUACACAAAGCGGCCUUGCCGCCUCACCCCAAUUUGUGUGGGUGGAGGUGUAAUCACAAUACUACAAUCUCUAUACAAAGCGGCCCCGGCACCUCACCCAAUGUGUGCGGGUGGAGGUGUAAUCACAAUACCACAAUAUGGAUUCCCCAAAUGAAAAUAUUUUGUACAAAAGAUUUCCUUUCAAAUCAAACCCUUUGGCACCUUUGGUAUUAACAAAUAUAAGUUCGUAAGAUUUCAUCAUAUGAGAAAUAAGAAUUUGAUCACAUUGAUUUCGAACAAAACUUUCUUCCCGGGGGAGGGGGGAGUAUAACAUAAUUAAGUCAAAAUAGAGAAUCAUCAACACAUGAGGGUUCUGACACAUUAUGCAAUUCGGGAAUCAUUUUACUAGCUUGAAUAUCCCACAUUAGUAGCGUUUCAAGUUUGUACUACACAUGAUGGAGCUUUGUAAGAAUACGGGAAUUCCGAUACUAGAAAAAAGAGCUUAUCCUUCAUACCUUGUUUGAGCUUUUCUUAAGUUACUACAAUAUCCCAACACUUCUAGCAAUAUCAAUCUAUAGGAAGAUAGCGGAAAACAAGACAAUAAUUAGAGGGGUUCUCAUGGUGUAAUUCUCUUAGGAAUGUUGUCAAACACCUAAUAUGCAAAAUUAACUACAAAGCUCUACAAUGAUAUCACUUCCUCCCCCAACCAAUUUCAACAACCUCACAUUCUACCACCUAUUGGCACAUGCAUGGCCUAUCUCCAACUCCACAAUCUACUUAGACACUAAACAAACAUACAUGGAUGAUGUAGGACAAGAACUUACCCAGGUAGAUGGUGGUCUAGUGAGUGGCUUCCAUGAUUCUUGAAGAUUGGUGCAAGAAUGGGUGAUUAUAAUACUAGGUCUUCUUCUUCUCUCUCUAAAAUAUUCUUACUUCUCUCUAAAAGCAUCAAACAUUCUCUUCAAAAUGAGCCCCAAAGGCUAUUUAUCAAAAUGGGGUCGGGUUAUAAAAAUAUAAAAAUAGACCCUCUGAAGACAAGUCUGCGGUCGCAGAAUGGACCGCAGAAACGAUAUGUGGCUCGCAAAAUGGACCGCGAAAGCGAUGCCAAAAACUAGGAUGGCCUGGACCGGUCUGCGGUCAAGUCUGCAGUCCGCAGACCACUCAUGCGGAUGGACUGCAGAAUCGCCCAAUGAAAUACCUCAUGCUAACUCUACAAUAGAAGUGCGGACUACGAAACAGGUAUGCGAUCGCAUAAUGGACCGCGAAACAACCUUCAUAAUUUAACUAUUUUCUGCUCAACUCCGCGAUGGAUAUGCGGCUCGCGGAACGGAUCUGCGGUCGCGAAACUCACCGCAUAAAUGUCUUCUUUCGCCAAAACUUUCCACCAACUCCUCCAUGCAUUCUUCAACCCCAAAAAGUCUGUGUCACAGCGUGCACAUUAGUCUACCUCGGCACCACAUAACCUUAAAUUCCUUAGAGAAAUUUUACGGGGCCUUACAUCCUUCCCCGCUUAGGAUCAUUCAUCCUCAAAUGAGGAGUAGAGUCCACCCCAUACACCUAACAUAACUCAACUCUUCUUUCAAACAUCUCAAGCCCAAAAUUUUGACUAACUCCCAAAUUUUUCAAACUUUUUGGCAGAGUUUCCCCUAUAAUUUGGCCUAUCCACCUGUCAGAAAAUCACCAAAACCUCCUUAACAACUGAUCCACAACUCAACAAAGCAUCACAAUAUAUAUCAAUAACACUAAUCUCAACAUUAUAGGCAUUACAUCACCCACAGUGGUAUCCUGACAUGAACUGUACAUAUUUAAAUCAUAACACAUAGAAAGUACCUUUCGAACCAUAACCAUUUAGCUAUACAAACAUGUGAGAAUAUUUUCUUUCCACAACACUCUCGGCCUUUGAGGUGACCUCCUCGACUCACAGACUUGACCAUAGCAUUUUGACGGAGACAAUCUCAACUUUCGAACUUCUCUAACAAGGAUGAUAAUUGGGUACCUCUCAUAAGCCGAUUACCCAUUAACUUCACCUUCCAUAGCUUCCACAGGAAUGAUAGACAAAUGAUUCCCAACUACCUUCUCGGACAUAGACAUAUGAAUACCAGGUGCAUGGAGAACAACGAUGAGGGACAUCAUACUCGUAGCUCGGCCUAUUUCCCUCAAGAUUCCAUAAGGCCCAAUGUGUACUACACCUACUUUACCUUUAUUAACAAUUCACAUAAUAUCUUUAUGGAGAAAAUCUGGAGAAUAGCCCGUUCACUUUCUUCCACUCUAAAUCUCUAUGUCGGACACCCGAAUUGGAUCCUUGGCGACCUUCAACCCCCUCCUCAUCCUUAUACUACGAUGUGACUGAAUGAAAAAGACCAUGGGAUUUACUACUCCAAUAUGUUUGAUCAUGGAAUGAUACUUAUUCUUUGGCAUGUGUGAAACUACAACUCUCUAGAGAUCUACUACAAAUAGGAACAACAAGGUCCGAGUUUGAGCUGGAAUUGUUCAUGAAUCCACCAAGGUGCUAAGUAGGGCAUUUCAGGAGGUUAUAUUCUAAGAGACUGGAGGGUGACCACCGAUAGCGUUCAUAUGGUUAAUCAUUGUGAUGACAUGAUCGAUUCAACAAAUGAGGCGUAUAGUUAUCUAGUACACAUUUAUAAUGUGGGAACCAUGUAGAUUUAUUCGUGCACAUUAGUCUACCUCGGCACCACGAAACCUUAAAUUCCUUCGCUAAAUUUUACAGGGCCUUACAUAAAUCACACCCGAGACCCCCGGGACCCCCAUCGAAACAUACCAACACAUCCUAAAAUAUGGUACAAACUUAGUCGAAACCUCAAUUCACAUCAACCAACAUCAAAAACACGAAUCGCACCCCAAUUCAAGCCUAACAAAAAUAAUGGAUUUCCAACUCCAUUCCGGAGUCGUUUACACAUAAGUCAACAUCCGGUCAACUCUUUCAACUUAAGAUACCAACCUUGGGACUGUGUGUCCCAAUUAGUUCCGGAACAUCCCCGGAACCAAGCCAACCAAACUAGCAAGUCACAUAACCACAAAUGAACAUUGAAUAAGCAAUAAAUGGGGGAACAUGGCUACAAUAUUCAAAAUGAUCGGCCGGGUCAUUACGCGAAGAGCAUUCCAACCAGCUGACAUCGCAAAUGCGGCUCCCUGCUCUCAAAAGCGCACAACCAACUUUCGCAAAAGCGAAUAACUCCUGGCAAAUCCGAGGUCUCUCCCUAGCAGCCCUUAGUCGCAAUUGUGAUGGAACUUCUACAAAUGGGAUUGUCGCAUUUGCGACUUACUCAUCGCAAAUGCAAUGAAAUCAGAACCAGCACAAUGAAAUGUUAACAAAACAGUCUGAAGCCAAUCUGAAACUCACCCGAGCCCUCGAGGCUCCACACCAAACAUCCACAUAAGUCUAAAAAUAUCAUAAAAACUCACUAACUCAAUAAGAACACCAAAAUGACAUCCAGAACCACGAAUCGGACAUCCAAAUGCAUGAUUGUUAAAAGAAAACUCAAGAACCUCUAGAUUCACAACCAAUUGUCUGAAUCAUAUCAAACCAACUCCGAAUGACACAAAACUUGCUGGCAAGUUCCAAAUAAAAUAACUGACCUAAUUCAAGUCCCCAAACUGAAAUCUGAACUCGAUAGCCAUAAAGUCAAACCAUAGUCAAACCUAAGAAAUUUCUAAACCUUCAAAUUACCAACUUUUGGCAAAACAUGCCACAUCAACCUAGUGACCUUUGAAUUCAAUUACGGGCAUACACCCAAGUGCAAAAUCACUAUACGAGCAUAUUGAAGUCAUCAAAAUACCGAUUUGAGAUCAAAUACGCAAAAUCAAACUUGGUCAACUCUUCCAACUUUAAGCUUUUAGAAUGAGAAUCACUCUUCCAAAUCAAUCCCGAACCACUCAAAAAAUAAAGACAAUGCUACAUGCACGUAAUAAUACACCAUAUGAAGCUAUUCGUGACAUCAGAUCACCGAACUACUCAAAACGAACGGUUGGGUCGUUACAUUCUCCCCCACUUAAACCUAUGUUCGUCUUCGAACGUGCCAAGAGUUUUUCUAAGGACAUCAAAUCACUAUGUAACCCCCUCCCCCUCGAUCACAUACCCGUGAGUGAUCCCACAUCGCCCCAAUCCAUACAAGCCAAACAACACAACCUAGCUGACGAUCCUUACUGCAACCUUAGCCCAUAAACCUUAGAGCCAAAUUUUCCAAUAUCUGCAACCCAUUACAAGACCCGAUUCUCAUAUCUAUACGUUGUAUAAGUGUAACACCCGGGAAAAAUUUUAAAGUGUUUUAAGACCAUUAAGAAGAUUGGCGGGUGCUAAUUAUAUUAAUUCGGGUACGAAUAAGACUGAUAAUUUGAGUGAUAUCAAUUUAUGAUGAUAAUAUAUGUAUGAGGAGCAUUAAGAAUGGUUUAUGAUCUAAGAAGAGCCCUAAGGCUAAGUCAAGUUAAAAAUUAUAUGAUGGUAUAAACUUUCAAGUGAGUAUGCAAAAGAUCUAACUUCAAACGAG
rnacentral:lncRNA from 1 species